rnacentral:lncRNA from 1 species
UAUCAUAAGCACCUUAUUAUUAUGGAUAAUGAUGUCUUCCUAUUAACAUGAAGUUCUCGAAAUCAAAUGAUACAUUUGAACAAGCAACACAACAACAGAGACUGAAGCAAACAUAGAUCAAAAAGUUAUACAUUAUUAUUUCCUACAUCACUUAAGCAAGAUGAAUUGCGCUAGACCAUGUCAUUCUUCUUCUUGUUGAUGGCCUCCUGAAUGAUAGGGCCAAGAGCAUCCAUCCUCAUUGGUUUGGGAACAAACAAAUCAGCACCAGCACUCAUGAAUGCCUCCAUGGCAUGAUCAUCGGUAGAAACCCCAACCAUCUUCACACCAGUUUCCCCCAUAGCAUGAAUCUUCACAAUUGCAUGUCGAGCAAUAAUAAUAUUAUAUUGUCUAUUUUUUGUAAAUAAGAGGAUUAUAUUUAUAUAAAUACAUGCCAAAGACUUGCAUAUACAAUGAUAUAGAAUUAAGUACCUCUGGACCAGUCAUGAUGGGCAUAUUCUAAUCAAACAAAACAAUGUCAAACUAUUUCCCCUCAAGUAACAAAUCAACAACUUCCUUCCCAUUCAUGGCUAGAGUAACCUCAGAGUGAAGUCUGAGAAGAAUUGUUGAGAGGACCAACCUACAAACUUCAAUGUCCUCUACAAGUAGUGCCGAUAGAGGUGGGUCCUUUGGCCUUGAGCUGCAUGAUCACCUAAACGAAUUACAAACACAUGAAUAUAUUCUAUUCUUGAUCUAAGUAUGCCAUAUUAGUACUUGAAAGCACAUUGUUAUUCUUGAAAAGAAUCAACUAGCAAAAUCAUAAUAUAUUACUAAACUCAUAGUUUACACAUCGCAUAACACAAUGAAACAAAAUUGUCUAUUUCAAAAGAAACAAUGAGAGAGAACAAUCGAUUGUGCCAUGCAUGCAAAGUUUACAAUGGUCUAACAUGAAGUUCUCGAAAUCAAAUGAUAAUUUGAACAAGCAACACAACAACGGAGACUGAAGCAAACAUACAUCAAAAAGUUAUACAUUAUUGUUUCCUCCACCACUUAAGAAAGAUGAAUUGCGCUAGACCAUGUCAUUAUUCUUCUUGUUGAUGACCUCCUGAAUGAUAGGGCCAAGAGCAUCCAUCCUCAUUGGUUUGGGCACAAAUAAAUCAGUACCAGCACUCAUGAACGCCUCCAUGGCAUGAUCAUCGGCAGAAACCCCAACCAUCUUCACAUCAGUUUACCCCGUAGCACGAGUCUUCACAAUUGCCUGUCGAGCAAUAUAAAUAUUAUAUUGUAUUUUUUGUAAAUAAGAGGAUUUUAUUUAUAUAUAUACAUGCCAAAUACUUGCAUAUACAAUGAUAUAGAAUUAAGUACCUCUGGACCAGUCAUGAUGGGCAUAUUCUUAUCGAACAAAACAAUGCCAAACUUUUUCCCUGCAAGGAACAAAUCAACAACUUCCUUCCCAUUCAUGGCUAGAGUAACCUCACAGUGAAGUUUGAGCAGAAUUGUUGAGAGGACCAACCUACAAACUCCAAUGUCCUCUAUAAGUAGUACCUUGAUAGAGGUGGGUCCUUUGGCCUUGAGCUCCAUGAUCACCUAAAUGAUGAUACCGAUGAUCGAAUCUCGAGCAAGUAACAUACCGAUGACAAAGGGAACAAAGUAUGUUGUUAUGCGGGUUGACCGAUAAAGAUCUUCAUAGAAUAUGUAGGAGACAAUAUGAGCAUCCAGGUUCCGCUAUUGGUUAUUGACCGGAGAUGUGUCUCGGUCAUGUCUACAUAGUUCUCGAACCCGUAGGGUCCGCACGCUUAACGUUCGAUGACGAUUUGUAUUAUGAGUUAUGUGAUUUGAUGAUCGAAGUUUGUUCGGAGUCCCGGAUGAGAUCACGGACAUGACACGGAUUCUCGAAAUGGUCGAGAGGUAAAGAUUCAUAUAUAUGACGAUGGUAUUUGGACACCGAAAGUGUUCUGAGUGAUACCGGGUCACCAGAUGCGGUUCCGGGCAACCCCCGGCAAAGAUAUGGGCUUAAUGGGCCAAGUAAGGGAACACACCAGCCCACAAGGGGCUAGUGCGCCCCCUAUAGGGCCAGCCACGUGGGGAGAAAUGGAAAGGAGAGGAGGAAAAGGACAGUAUGAAGUAGGACUCCUACUUCCUUNNNNNNNNNNNNNNNNNNNNNNNNNNNNNNNNNNNNNNNNNNNNNNNNNNNNNNNNNNNNNNNNNNNNNNNNNNNNNNNNNNNNNNNNNNNNNNNNNNNNNNNNNNNNNNNNNNNNNNNNNNNNNNNNNNNNNNNNNNNNNNNNNNNNNNNNNNNNNNNNNNNNNNNNNNNNNNNNNNNNNNNNNNNNNNNNNNNNNNNNNNNNNNNGGGGCCCAAGUAGGAUUCCUCCUACUUGGGCGCGCCCUAGGCUGCCUCCCUCCCUCUCCCUCCUUUAUAUAUGUGGGGAGGGCACCCCUAGAAGACACAUCAAUUGUUCCUAGCCAUGUGCGGUGCCCCCCUCCACAGUUAACACCUCAGUCAUAUUGUUUUAGUGCUUAGGCGAAGCCCUGCGCCGUAACUUCAUCAUCACCGUCACCACGCCGUUGUGCUGAUGGAACUCUCUCUCGUCCUCAACUAGAUCAAGAGCUCGAGGGGUGUCAUCGUGCUGAAUGUGUGCUGAACACGGAGGUGCCGUACGUUCGGUACUUGGAUCGGUUGGAUCGUGAAGACGUUCGACUACAUCAACCGCGUUACUAAACGCUUCCGCUUUCGGUCUACGAGGGUACAUGGACACACUCUCCCCGCUCAUUGCUAUGCAUCUCCUAGAUAGAUCUUGCGUGAUCGCAGGUAAUUUUUUUGAAAUACUAUGUUCCCCAACAAAUUCUUCCUCCCUGAUUUUUUUCCUGGAAAAAUAGGAUUUUAUGGCGUUGUUUCAGGGUCUGUGGGGCCACCAGGUGGGGACAACCCACCUGACCGUGCCUGGAGGGGGGGGGCUGGUAGGUUGUGCCCACCCAGGUGCCCCCCUCUGGUGGUUCUUGGCUCCAGAAAUUAUCUCAUAUAAAAAUUCCUCGCAACUUUCGUUCCAAUCUAAGAACUUUUAUUUCUGCACAAAAACAACACCAUAGUUCUGCUGAAAAUAGCGUCAGUCCGGGUUAGUAUUUAUUCAAAUCAUGCAAAUUAGAGUCUAAAACAAGAGGAAAAGCGUUAGGAAAAGUAGAUAUGACGGAGAUGUAUCAUGACUCAUGUCCCCACAUAAAUAUUUUCGAUUGAUGUUUAUAUGCAACUUAAUGUUUCAUAUCUAAGUUCAUGUAUUAAACUAUAUGUCACCAAGUUACUAGAAGUUGCAUGAGUUAUAGUUCCAAAUUUCGAAUGUUGGCCAAUAUACUAUAGUUAAUAUUUUAUUUUGAGAGACGAGUUACAACGCAUAAACUCACAACACACACACACCCCCUAUGAAGGCGAAGACAUAUACCUACCACUAGGAGCGGCAAUGUGAUGUUGAGUCAACAGAUGUUGAGAUUGACAAUGCCACCACAAGCACUUCAUUGUAAAAGUCCAAGUCAUUGCAUUGAAAUAAUAACGUAAGAAAUACUGAACUAAAUAUAGAAAAUAUUUGAGCACCCAUGCGAUGUGUAGAACUUGAACCUCGGGUAGGCUUGUUGCCGUAGAAAGUACCUAGCCAUCUAAGGCCAACUCCAAUGCAUGACUCCAACUAGUCUGGCCGCGUCCGUUUGGGGCUAAACAGACACAAAAUACGACCCAACGCGCGGGAGCAAAUGGACAAAUGUCCUUUUUCUGUCCGCUUUCAAACCACUCACGGUCCAAAUUUGGGCCGCAUUUGCAUCGAAAAGGACACGGGUGGACGAGUGCGACGCGUGCCCUUGUCCUCCCCUAGCCCGCCCGUUGGGGACAUGGUUCUCCCUUUUCCUUCUCCUGCUCCCCUCCCCCUCGCCCCACCCCCACUAUAGCCGCCGGCGCCAUUUUCUCGGCCACCUCGCUGACUCACUGUCUCACAGUCUAGCCCAACUGACCAUAACACAACAGUCGGAUAUGUGCCUCUCUCGCCCUGCACUGGUGGUCAACUGCUAUAUCUGUGGCCGUGGGAUUUGGCGCACGCGGCUACCGGAUUUGGCGAAUCCGGAUGCAUGUGGUUGCGCCCUGCCGUGGAUUGGCAGGGUACCGGUUCGCACAACCAUGGCAACGACUCCGCGUCGCAUGCAGGUACCGGAUCUACCUCUUGCCGCUCGGAUCUACCCCGGCGACGGUUCGCCAACAAAGACAUGGCCGGCCUCUGUCCAGGCUAGGCCCUGGCCGAGCGGCUAGAUGGUAUUAAUUUAGCUGAUGUUCUUGAUGGUCAUUAUGUGAUUUUAUGCAUCUCUAAUCAAAAUGGAACCAAUAAGAAGUUUUGAUUAUAGAUUUAAUGAGAAAAUGUGAAAGUGCAAUCAUGCUCUUAAUCAAAUUUUGAUGUUGAUGACACAAUACAUACAUGAGGCUAAUUAUGUUUGCUAAGUGAAUACACAUGAUAUUAGUCUCCUUGGCAUCAUUAUGUAGGAAUCAUGGACACAUCAAACGAGAUAUGACUCAAGAAGAUGACAACAGAGAAGAAGUGUAGACUCUUUUAUAUAAAUUUUGAAUUACAAGGAUCCCGCAAUAUUAAGAGGGGCUCCAAGUGGUAUGUUCAAGAUUUGUUCAAGUGUCAGCAUCAUGUCACUAUCAUACUACAGGUACUGUAACGCCCCUAUAAUUAAGCUAUAGUGAAUUCACCCUAAUGAUGCCCGGCCAUAUUAUUUUGCUAAGCUUAUUGCCCCUUGAUAAAAAAAUCAAACUCAAAUUCAAAUUCAAAUUGCAUGUCAAAUUAAUAUUUCUUCAAAUAGUAAAACAAUUGCAAAUAUUCACUUAGUAAUUGUCAUGAAGAAACCACCACCAUUUGAAAUAUUUAAAUGCCCUUAAUACCAUUUAAACAGAACCAUCAACAUUAAAUUGAUCCAUUUCAAUUUUAGAAAAUAUUUAAAAAUUUCAAAAUAAAUUGAAACUUGGUGGGCUAGCUCUAAACAUUGCCUACUAUUUAUGUGACAAGUUUCAUCUACAACUAAAAGCAUUUGGUAUUAAAAGAAAAUGCAAAUUAGUAAAGAAAGUAUAAGCAUAAAAAAAGAAACGAAAAACAACAAAGACACACUCUGCACUUGGGCCAUCACUGCAUAGUGUGGCCUGGCCCAGCCCACCCAGGUUAUCCCCUACCACAGUUCACAAAGGCGAGGUGGACUCCAUGCGGCAACCCAUGGCCAGGAUGGCCACAUGUCGGCCAUCCAAACCUCCCUACGGCGCCUAUAGGACCCCUACGGCCACCUAUUGAACCCGAGCUCACCAUCUUCCCCCUCCGCGCCGCUUUUAUUUUCUCCCACGCGAACCCGACUUUGCCUUCACCAGGGACGACCUCCUUCGCGUGGCCACCCAGCUCCUCCUCGUCAGAGUUCAUGUCUAGGAGCUUCGUUGUCGUCGCCCACGUCGCCUACGGCCACGGGCUCAACUCAGGAGCCCCUACAUCGCCGGAAUCGACAUUGUCUUCAAGCUCUGUCGCGCCGCUCGCUGCUCACCGACCAGAGCCUCGCCAACCCGUUUUGCACCUCUGUAGUCUCAAUAUGAGCCCCGUCGUCUUUCGCCUCUAUCUUUCUGCUCGCGCGCGCCCCCUAUCUAGCUCCCUGGCCAUUGACGGUGCUCGUUGCCACCAUCCGCAUCACCGCCGCAGCCAGUACUUUCCAAGCUUGCAUUCGAGCACCACAUCGAGCUCCUGGAGCUCCUAGGAACCCAACGCCGCCGUCCGUUCGCCUUGUCGUCCUCCGCAGCCUCGCCAGAGUCAACCCCAAGCUCCAACCGCCGCCUCGCCUUAACACCAAUGCCAACUCCGACCAUCUCCAGAUGAACCGAUGCCACCGUUGCACGCUCGCCGCUUCUCUAAUUCAAAUGCGUCCUCCGUGCGUAAAAUGGUCGCUAGAGACGCAAUCCGAGCCCCACCAUCGUUCUUGUGGUCGCCGGAGCUCUACCACCGGCGCGCCACCGCGUUUGGACUAUCCCGAGUCACUGACACGUGGGCCUGGCCUACCAGGAACGUCAUUAGCACUAACAAAAAGUGUAAUAUGUCACUCACACACGCCCCCCAUAUUAGCAUUUACUUAACUUUAAUAAUACCCUAUUAGUUAACCCUUUUCACUGACCACUAGGCCCCACCUCCAAGUUAUAGUUAAUUAAACUAAUUAAAAUGCUGACUAAACCCCUCUGACCAAUGGGUCCCAUUGGUCAGGUUUGACUAGUCAACCUGACUGUUGACUGCUGACUCAACAGUCAAUAUGCCCCACAUGUCAGUCACAAUCCAUAGUUAUCGAUUUAUGCACGUGGUUAUCAUGUCUAUGUAAGCUUCGUGUUCUCCUUUGUAAUAUUCGAUUAUGCUAUGCGAAGGAAAAUUAAGGAUUACUAUUCUUUAUACAUAUGUAGUGUAUUUUUCAUUCCAGUAGUAAUAGUUCAAGUAAAGGCCAGAUGUAGUGACAUAGAUGGUCGAAGGCUAUUUGGGGCAGCCCCAAGCCCUACCUCGCUCGUGGUGCUCCUUGGUUGUCCAUGAAGGACCUCCUCAACGAGAUAAUAGAUCCCUAAACAAAUUUCUCCAUUUCCGUAGCAAGCUUCGAACCUUUUUUAAUCAAUUCGUUUGUUGGCGCCACGGGCUGCGGCACUCGACGGCGAUGACCGGAGACACCCUCGGAGAGGAGGAAGAAGAACACCGAGAAUUUUUCGGAUGCACGAACGCCCGCCGCACGUGCGGCUUUUCUCUAUUUCACCUCGAGCUCGAACUCGAUGACCUUAGCAAUUACACAAGGGUGGAGAGGGUUUUAUACCCACGAGCUCCGACACGCCGGGCCGCGCUCGAGCGCGCCCACCUGCCACUCGCCACAUCCCGCGUGCUCCGGCUCACGCGCUCCGAUCGCGCACGCACACGAUCGCCGCGGCCAUGCUGCGCGCCCGACGCGGUCCUCUCCCCCUGAUCCCUCGCUAGCUAAUCCACGCAGCCACGCGCACACACACACACACACACCUACACUCAGACACGCACGCACACACACCCGAGCCCCCCACGGGCCGGACCUGACGCGACCAGCGCAUGCACACACACGCGCAUGCUCUCAGCCCCGUCGUGGCUUAUUUCCUACAUUUCACCCCCUAAGCCACGAUCUAGAGGAGGCCGGCGUCCUCGACGCUGACGUCCGGUAGCAACGCGCGCUCCGCCACCAGUUCCCUCCACAGCUGGGGGCAGUCCCGCUUGAAAUGGCAGCGCUCGCCGCACUUGUAGCAGCGCCCGCAUCUGUUGCCGUCGUUGCCCGACGCCAUGCUCCGUCCGUCGUCGUCGUCCCGAGCGCCGCCCUGCUGCCGCUCCCGCGCCCGCCACUGUGCCAUGGUCAGGAGGAGUUGAUCACCCCCGUGCCCGCCACCAUCUUGUCCACGGCGCCGCGUCCGCUCGUCAAGCGCGCGCAGCCGCCCGAGCGCCUCGUCGAAUGCCAUCUCGUCGACGUUACAGAACUGCUCAAUGCCGGCGACGACGGAGAACAAGCGUUCGCGGACGGUGUCCAGGAGCUUCUUCACGAGUGUCGCGUCGCCCAGCGUCUCCCCGAGGUCCGCAUACCGCGCCAUCAUCGCCGCCAACCUCCCUGCAUACACGUCCAGCCCCUCGCCGUCCGCCAUCUUCAGGCGAUCGAACUAGCCGUGAAGCGUCACCAGCCGGGCCGCCCGCACUCGAUCGGCGCCGACGAACCUCACCUUCAGAGAGUCCCAUACCUCUGUGGCGGUGAGCUUCGCCGCCACCGACAAAAGCACAUCCUGCAGCAGCCCACCGAGGAUCAUCGCGCGCGCCGUCUUGCACUUCUUCGCGUUCACCGCCGGGUCGCCCGCCGGCGCCACCGCCUCCCACACCGUGUGGGCAUCGAGAAUUGCCUGCGCCUUGAUCGCCCACACCGUGUAGUUGUCCGGCGUGAGCAUCGGCAUCGCCAUCGACACCGAGCCUGCGCCUCCGCCGUGCGGCAUGAUCGCCAUCACCGUCGACAAGCUCCCUCACCUCACUCUGAUACCAAAUAUUGGCGCCACGGGCUGCAGCACUCGACAACGAUCACCAGAGACAUGCUCGGAGAGGAGGAAGAGGAACACAAAGAAUUUUUCCGGCGCACGAACGCCCGCCGUACGUACGGCUUUUCUGUAUUUCACCUCAAGCUCGAACUUGAUCUCCUUAGCGAUUACACAGGGGUGGAGAGGGUUUUAUACCCGCAAGCUCUGACACGCCGGGCCACGCUCGAACGCGCCCACCUGCCACUCGCCACGUCCCGGGCGCUCUGGCUUGCGCGCUCCGAUCGCGCACGCACACGAUCGCCGCGACCAUGCUGCGCGCCUGACGCAGUCCUCCCCCCUAUCCCUCGCUAGCUAACCCACGUAGCCACGCGCACACACACGCACUGACUCGCACACACAUGCACACCUACACUUGGGCACGCGCGCACACCCGAGCCUGCCACGGGCCGGACCUGACGCGACCAGCGCAUGCACACACACACGCAUGCUCUCAGCCCCGCCGUGGCUUAUUUCCUACAUCGUAUAUGCAGCUCGCACGUGCCCUCUUUCUUCUGCGUGAACCCGAUUGGAUGUAUGGCGUGUUAAUCUCAAUCAUUGGAAUUAGGAGACGACACAACGCUCCUCUGUACUUCCUUCGAGAACCUCAUAGUAGAUUGUAAAAUUUUAAAUGUAUAACUCGUCAACACCAAGGAGGCUGAAUGGCGGGGCUAGGGCCAAAUGUCAAGUUUGUGCUUGCUGAUGUUGCAAGAGGAGAAAGGUCGGGAAAUAAAUGUGGUAAUACCAUAAAUGCUAGGAUUUCGAAUAAGGGGUCUUUGAACCUUGCUGCAAUCCGUAGACGCACUAGUAGUGAAACCUUUCUCAAGCAGCUGGAUGGAUGCUUGGCAAGUUAAUUUAACUUAUAUGGACAUGGCAGAGAUAUGUGGGUGUUUGCCAAUAUUUUAUUAUAAAGGAUCAGUGAUGGAUUACUAAUAGCGGUCAUUAAUUGGAUACGCCACACUGACCAUUAACUAGUAGUCCGGACAAUAUAACAGUAAAAAAAUAUUGAUAGUCAAAUAAUUUUCCUCUCAAAAUGGUGCAUGACUCACAACAUGAAACCUGAGUUAGUGAGAAGCCUUGGCCAAAAACAUAAAGACCUAUAGAUCAUAUCGAUCCAAUAUAUCAUAGGUACUUUAUUAUUAUGGAUAAUGAUGUCUUGCCAUUAACAUGAAGUUCUCAAAAUCAAAUGAUACAUUUGAAAAAGCAACACAACAACGGAGACUGAAGCAGACAUAGAUCGAAAAGUUAUGCAUUAUUAUUUCCUCCACCACUUAAGCAAGAUGAAUUGCGCUAGACCAUCUCAUUCUUCUUCUUGUUGAUGACCUCCUGAAUGAUAGGGCCAAGAGCCUCCAUCCUCAUUGGUUUGGGCACAAAUAAAUCAGCACCAGCACUCAUGAACGCCUCCAUGGCAUGGUUAUCGGCAGAAACCCCAACCAUCUUCACAUUAGUUUCCCCCAUAGCACGAAUCUUCACAAUUGCCUGUCGAGCAAUAUAAAAAUUAUAUAUUAUAUAUAUAUGCCAAAUACUUGCAUAUACAGUGGUAUAGAAUUAAGUACCUCUGGACCAGUCAUGAUAGGCAUAUUCUUAUCGAACAAAACAAUGUCAAACUUUUUCCCCGCAAGGAACAAAUCAACAGCUUCCUUCCCAUUCAUGGCUAGAGUAACCUCACAGUGAAGUCUGAGCAGAAUUGUUGAGAGGACCAACCUACAAACUCCAAUGUCCUCUACAAGUAGUGCCUUGAUAGAGGUGGAUCCUUUGGCCUUGAGCUCCAUGAUCACCUAAAUGAAUUACAAACACAUGAAUAUAUAUUUUUCUUGAUCCAUGCAUGCCAUAUUAGUACUUGCAAGCACAUUGUUAUUCUUGAAAAGAAUCAACUAGCAAAAUCUUAAUAUAUUACUAAACUCAUAGUUUAAACAUCGCAUAACACAAUGAAACAAAAUUGUCUAUUUCAAAUGAAAUAAUGACAGGACUGAAAAAACCGAUGCGCCAAGAUAACAUCAACAUGCCAGCAAUAAUAUAUAUAGAUGGGUGCUAAGAACAACAACCAUGAAGAUAUUGAUUAAUAGAUCAAAUUAAAAUGAAUACUUCCACCCUAUACUAUUAUAGAUCCACCUCUAACAUUCUCAUGGAUGUAAAUCAUGGACACUAAAAGCACCAGAAGCCUCAUGAUGAAACUAAAAGCACCAGAAGCCUAAUGAUAAAACAAGGCAGGGAAACAAAUAAUGGAACAUGUACCUGAUGGUUAGAGCCAGAUGGUGCUGGAGGAGAUUGGGGAUCUUCCUACUCUUCCCACUAGAUAGUGUGGUGGUUGGGUGCUGGUAUGCCUCGUAUGACAAGGUAUUUAUAGAUGGGAAAAGGUACGUGUGGCCAAUGGACAACCUAUCUCCACCGCCUUCACAAGCGUAGAAAAUCCGCACCGAUCUUCGCCCAAGUAUAAAUGGAGAAAUCAAUAUUGGUCGUGAAUAUUUUGUUAUUAAUGACUCGUGUCCCCACCGAAUCUACCUCUUGCCGCUCGGUUCUAUACCCUGGCUAUGGUUCGCCAGCAAAGACAUGGCCGGCCUCUGUCCAGGCUGGGCCUGGCCUAGCGGCUAGACGGUAUUAAUUUAGAUGAUGUUCUUGAUGGUCAUUAUGUGAUUUUAUGCAUCUUUAAUCAAAAUGGAACCAAUAAGAAGUUCUGAUUAUAGAUUUAAUGAGCAAAUGUGAAAGUGCAAUCAUGCUCUUAAUCAAAUUUUGAUGUUGAUGACAAAAUACAUACAUGAGACUAAUUAUAUUUGCUAAGUGAAUACACAUGAUAUUAGUCUUCUUGGCAUCAUUAUGUAGGGAUCAUGGACACAUCAAACAAGAUAUGACUCAAGAAGAUGACAACAGAGAAGAAGUGUAGACUCCUUUAUAUAAAUUUUGAGUUACAAGGAUCCGGCACUAUUAAGAGGGGAUCCAAGUGGUAUUUUCAAGAUUUGUUCAAGUGUCAACAUCAUGCCACUAUCAUACUACAGGUAUUGUAACGCCCCUAUAAUUAAGCUAUAGAGAAUUCACCCUAAUGAUGCCCUUUCGCGUUGCCACCGAGCUCCUCCUCAUCUGAGUUCAUAUCUAGGAUCUUCGCCGUCGUCGCCCACGUCGCGUGCGGCCACGAGCUCAAGUCAGGAGCCCCUACAUCGCCGGAAUCGACGUCGUUGUCAAGCUCUGUCGUGCCGCUCGCUGCUCACCGACCAGAGCAUCGCCUACCCGCUUUGCACCUCUAUAGUCUCACUAUGAGCCCCGUCGUCUUUCCUCUCUAUCUUUCUGCUCGUGUGCGCCCCCUAGCUAGCUCCCUGGCCAUUGACCGUGCUCGUUGCCACCAUCCGCAUCACCGCCACAGCCACUACAUUCGAAGCUUGCAUUCGAGCACCACAUUGAGCUCCUGAAGCUCCUAGGAACCCAACGCCGCCGUCCGUUCACCUUGUCGUCCUCCGCAGCCUCGCCAGCGUCCACCCCAAGCUCCAACCGCCGCCUCGCCUUAACCCCAAUGCUAACUCCGGCCAUCUCCAGUUGAACUUAUGCCACCGUUGCACGCUCGCCGCUUCUCUGAUUCAAAUGCAUCCUCUGUGCGCAAAAUGGUCGCUAGAGACGCAAUCUCGAGCCCCACCACCGUUCUUGUGGUCGCCGGAGUUGUACCGCCGGCGCGGCACCGCCUUUGGACUGUCCUGAGUCACUGACACGUGGGCCCGGCCUACCAGGAACGUCUUUAGCACUAACAAAAAGUGUAAUAUGUCACUCACACACGGCCCCCAUAUUAGCAUUUACUUAGUUUAAAUAAUACCCUAUAAAAUAACCCUUGUCACUAACCACUAGGCCCCACCUCCUAAUUAUAGUUAAUUGAACUAAUUAAAAUGCUGACAAAACCCCGUUGACCAGUGGGUUNNNNNNNNNNNNNNNNNNNNNNNNNNNNNNNNNNNNNNNNNNNNNNNNNNNNNNNNNNNNNNNNNNNNNNNNNNNNNNNNNNNNNNNNNNNNNNNNNNNNNNNNNNNNNNNNNNNNNNNNNNNNNNNNNNNNNNNNNNNNNNNNNNNNNNNNNNNNNNNNNNNNNNNNNNNNNNNNNNNNNNNNNNNNNNNNNNNNNNNNNNNNNNNNNNNNNNNNNNNNNNNNNNNNNNNNNNNNNNNNNNNNNNNNNCCAUAUUUUACGAUUUAUGCACCUGCUUCCGUUGGUUAUCAUGUCUAUGUAAGCUUUGUGUUCUCCUUUGUAAUAUUUGAUUAUGCGAUGCAAAGAAAAAUCAAGGAUUACUAUUCUUUGUACCUAUGUAGUGUAUUUUUCAUUCCAGUAAUAAUAGUUAAAGUAGAGGCCAGAUGUAGUGACAUAGAUGGUCGAAGGCUAUUUGGGGCAGCCCCAAGCCCUACCUCGCUCGUGGUGCUCCUUGGUUGUUCAAGAAGGAUCUCCUCAACGAGAUAAUAGAUCCCUAAACUAACUUUACUUCUCCAUUUCCGUAGCAAGCUUCGCUCCUUUUUUGAUCAAUUCAUUUGUUGGCGCCACGAGGCUGCAGCACUCGACAGCGAUCACAGGAGACACACUCGGAGAGGAGGAAGAAGAACACGGGGAAUUUUUUCGGCGCACGAACGUCGGCCGCACGUACUGCUUUUCUGUAUUUCACCUCGAGCUCUAACUCAAUCUCCACAGCGAUUACAGAGGGAUGGAGAGGGUUUUAUACCCGCGAGCUCUGACACGUCGGGCCGCGCUCGAAUAUGCCCACCUACCACUCGUCACGCCCAGCGCGCUCCGGCUCUCGCACUCCGAUCGCCGCGGCCAUGUUGCGCGCCCGACGCGGUCCUCUCCCCCUGAUCCCUCAUUAGCUAACCUACGCAGCCACGCACACACGUGCUGACUCGCACACUGAUACGUCUCCAACGUAUCUAUAAUUUUUGAUUGCUCCAUGCUAUUAUAUAUUCUGUUUUGGAUGUUUAAUGGGUUUAUUUAUACACUUUUAUAUUAUUUUUGGGACUAACCUAUUAACCGGAGGCCCAGCCCCAAUUGCUGUUUUUUUGCCUAUUUCAGUGUUUCGCAGAAAAGGAAUAUCAAACGGAGUCCAAACGGAAUGAAACCUUCGGGAGAGUUACUUUUGGAACAAACGUGAUCCAUAGGACUUGGAGUGGACGUCAAGAAAUCACCGAGGAGGCCACGAGGCAGGGGGCGCGCCUACCCCCCUGGGCGCGCCCUCCACCCUCGUGGGCCCCUCGUGGCCCCCUGACCGACUUCUUUCGCCUAUAUAUAUAUCCAUAUACCCUAAAAACAUCGGGAACAGAAUAGAUCGGGAGUUCCGCCGCUGCAAGCCUCUGUAGCCACCAAAAACCAAUCGGGACCCUGUUCCGGCACCCUACCGGAGGGAGGAUCCCUCACCGGUGGCCAUCUUCAUCAUCCCGGCGCUCUCCAUGAUGAGGAGGGAGUAGUUCAAUCUCAGGGCUGAGGGUAUGUGCCAGUAGCAAUGUGUUUGAUCUCUCUCUCUCUCUCUCUCUCUCUCUCUCGUGUUCUUGAGAUGGUACGAUCUUGAUGUACCGCGAGCUUUGCUAUUAUAGUUGGAUCUUAUGAUGUUUCUUCCCCUCUACUCUCUUGUAAUGGAUUGAGUUUUCACUUUGAAGUGAUCUUAUCGGAUUGAGUCUUUAAGGAUUUGAGAACACUUGAUGUAUGUCUUGCAUGUGCUUAUCUGUGGUGACAAUGGGAUAUCACGUGAUCCACUUGAUGUAUGUUUUGGUGAUCAACUUGCGAGUUCCGUGAACUUAUGCAUAGGGGCUGGAACACGUUUUCUUCUUGACUCUCCGGUAGAAACUUUGGGGCACUCUUUGAAGUUCUAUGUGUUUGUUGAAUAGAUGAAUCUGAGAUUGUUUGAUGCAUAUCGUAUAAUCAUACCCACGGGUACUUGAGGUGACAUUGGAGUAUCUAGGUGACAUUAGGGUUUUGGUUGAUUUGUAUCUUAAGGUGUUAUUGUAGUACAAACUCUAUGAUAGAUUGAACGGAAAGAAUUGCUUCGUGUUAUUUUACUACGGACUCUUGAAUAGAUCGAUCAGAAAGAAUAACUUUGAGGUGAUUUCGUACCCUACAAUAAUCUCUUGUUUGUUCUCCUCUAUUAGUGGCUUUGGAGUGACUCUGUGUUGCAUGUUAAGGGGUAGUUAUAUGAUCCAAUUAUGUUAUUAUUGUUGAGAGAACUUGCACGAGUGAAAGUAUGAACCCUAGGCCUUGUUUCAACGCAUUGCAAUACCGUUUACGCUCACUUUUAUCGCUUGUUACCUUACUGUUUUUAUAUUUUCAGAUUACAAAAACCUAUAUCUACCAUCCACAUUGCACUUUAUCACCAUCUCUUCGCCGAACUAGUGCACCUAUAUAAUUUACCAUUGUAUUGGGUGUGUUGGGGACACAAGAGACCCUUUAUUAUUUGGUUCCAGGGUUGUUUGAGAGACACCAUCUUCAUCCUACGCCUCCCAUAGAUUGAUAAAUCUUAGGUCAUCCAUUUGAGGGAAAUUUGCUACUGUCCUACAAACCUCUACACUUGGAGGCCCAACAACGUCUACAAGAAUAAGGUUGCGUAGUAGACAUCACACACACAUGCAUACCUACACUCGGGCACACAUGCACACACCCAAGCCCGCCACGGGCCGGACCUGACGCGACCAGGACAUGCACACACACGCGCACGCUCUCAGCCCCGUCGUGGCUUAUUUCCUACAUUUCACCCCCUAAGCCAUGGCCUAGAGGAGGCCGACGUCCUCGAUGCCGACGUCCGCCAGCAACGCGCGCUCCGUUGCCGGCUCCCUCCGCAGCUGGGGGCAGUCCCGCUUGAAAUGGCCGCACUCGCCGCACUUGUAGCGGCGCACGCAUCUGUUGCCGCCGUUGCUCGACGCCAUGCUCCGCCCGUCGUCGUCGUCCCGAGCACCGCUCCCACGCGCGCCCUUCUGCGCUCCCGCGCCCGCCACUACGCCAUGGUUAGGAGGAGAUGAUCACCCCCGCGCUCGCCGCCGUCUUGUCCAUGGCGCCGCAUCCGCUCAUCAAACGCACGCAGCCGCCCGAGCGCCUCAUCGAAUGCCAUCUCGUCGAUGUUGCAGAACUGCUGAAUGCCAGCGACGACGGGGAACAAGCGUUCGAGGACGGUGUCCAGGAGCUUCUUCACGUGCGCCGCGUCACCCAGCUUCUCCCCGAGGUUCGUGUAUCGCGCUGUCAACGCAGGCAACCUCCCUGCAUACGCGUCCAGCCCCUCGCCGUCCGCCAUCUUCAAGCGAUCGAACUCGCCGCAGAGCGUCGCCAGCCGGGCCGCACACACCCGAUCAGCGCCGAUGAACCUCACCUUCAGAGAGUCCCAUACCUCUGUGGCGGUGAGCAUGAUCGCCACCGACAGCAGCACAUCCUGCGGCAGCCCACCGAGGAUCAUCGCGCACGCCGUCUUGCACUUCUUCGCGUUAACCGCCGUGUUGCCCGCCGGCGCCACCGCCUCCAACAGCGUGUGGGCAUCAAGGAUCGCCUGCGCCUUGAUCGCCCACGCCAUGUAGUUGUCCGACGUGAGCAUCGGCAUCGGCAUCGACACCGAGCCCGCGCCUCCGCCGUGCGGCAUAAUUGCCAUCGCCGUCAACGAGCUCCCUCACCUCGCUCUGAUACCAAAUGUUGGCGCCACAGGCUGCGACACUCGACGGCGAUCACUGAAGACACGCUCGGAGAGGAGGAAGAAGAACACAGAGAAUUUUUUCGGCGCACGAACGACCGCUAUCGGUGUCAAAACCGGCAGAUCUCGGGUAGGGGUUCCCAAAUUGUGCGUCUAAGGUCGAUGGUAACAGGAGACAGGUGAAACAAUGUUUACCCAGGUUCGGGCCCUCUCUAUGGAGGUAAUACCCUACUUCCUGCUUGAUUGAUUUUUAUGAAUAUGAGUAUUACAAGGGUUGAUCUACCACGAGAUCGUAAUGGCUAAAACCCUAGAAGUCUAGCCUGUAUGACUAUGAUUAUGAUGAUUGUUAUCUACGGACCUAGCCCUCCGGUUUAUAUAGACACCGGAGAGAUCUAGGUUCAAGAAGGACCUCCUGAACGAGAUAAUAGAUCCCUAAACUAACUUUACUUCUCCAUUUCCGUAGCAAGCUUCGCUCCUUUUUGAUCAAUUCAUUUGUUGGCGCCACGGGCUGCAGCACUCGACGGCGAUCACAUGAGACACACUCGGAGAGGAGGAAGAAGAACACGGAAAAAAUUUCCGGCGCACGAACACCGGCCGCACGUACGGCUUUUCUGUAUUUCACCUCGAGCUUGAACUCGCUCUCCUCAGCGAUUACACAGGGGUGGAGAGCGUUUUAUACCCGUGAGCUCCGACACGCCGGGUCGCGCUCGAAUAUGCCCACCUACCACUCGCCACGUCCCACGCGCUCCGGCUCGCGCGCUCCGAUCGCGCAAGAAGAUGAUGGCCGCGGCCAUGCUGCGCGCCCGACGCGGUCCUCUCCGCCUGAUCCCUUGUUAGGUAACCCACGCAGCCACACGCACACACGCGUUGACUCACACACUGAUACGUCUCCAACGUAUCUAUAAUUUUUGAUUGCUCCAUGCUAUUAUAUAUUCUGUUUUGGAUGUUUCAUGGGCUUAUUUAUACACUUUUAUAUUAUUUUUGGGACUAACCUAUUAACCGGAGGCCCGGCCCUAAUUGAUGUUUUUUGCCUAUUUCAGUGUUUCGCAGAAAAGGAAUAUCAAACGAAGUCCAAACGGAAUGAAACCUUCGGGAGAGUUAUUUUUGGAACAAACGUGAUCCAGAGGACUUGGAGUGGACGUCAAGAAAUCACCGAGGAGGCCACAAGGCAGGGGGCGCGCCUACCCCUCCUGGGCGCGCCCUCCACCCUCGUGGGCCCCUCAUGGCUCCCCUGACUGACUUCUUUCGCCUAUAUAUAUCCAUAUACCCUAAAAACAUCGGGGAACAGAAUAGAUCAGGAGUUCCGCCGCCGCAAGCCUCUGUAGCAACCAAAAACCAAUCGGGACCCUGUUCCGGCACCCAGCCGGAGGAGGGAUCCCUUACCGGUGGCCAUCUUCAUCAUCCCGGUGCUCUCCAUGACGUGGAGGGAGUAGUUCACCCUCGGGGCUGAAGGAUGUACCAGUAGCUAUGUGUUUGAUCUCUCUCUCUCUCGUGUUCUUGAGAUGGUACGAUCUUGAUGUACCGCGAGCUUUGCUAUUAUAGUUGGAUCUUAUGAUGUUUGUCCCCCUCUACUCUCUUGUAAUGGAUUGAUUUUUCCCUUUGAAGUGAUUUUAUUGGAUUGAGUCUUUAAGGAUUUGAGAACACUUGAUGUAUGUCUUGCAUCUGCUUAUCUAUGGUGACAAUGGGAUAUCACGUGAUCCACUUGAUGUAUGUUUUGGUGAUCAACUUGCGAGUUCCGUGAACUUAUGCAUAGGGGUUGGCACACGUUUUCGUCUUGACUCUCUGGUAGAAACUUUGGGGCACUCUUUGAAGUUCUAUGUGUUGGUUGAAUAUAUGAAUCUGAGAUUGUUUGAUGCAUAUCGUAUAAUCAUACCCAUGGAUACUUGAGGUGACAUUGGAGUAUCUAGGUGACAUUAGGGUUUUGGUUGAUUUCUAUCUUAAGGUGUUAUUCUAGUACGAACUCUAUGAUAGAUUGAACGGAAAGAAUAUCUUCGUGUUAUUUUACUACAGACUCUUGAAUAGGUCGAUCAGAAAGAAUAACUUUGAGCUGGUUUCGUACCUACAAUAAUCUCUUCGUUUAUUCUCCACUAUUAGUGACUUUGGAGUGACUCUUUGUUGCAUGUUGAGGGGUAGUUAUAUGAUACAAUUAUGUUAUUAUUGUUGAGAGAACUUGCACUAGUGAAAGUAUGAACCCUAGGCCUUGUUUCAACGCAUUGCAAUACCGUUUACGCUCACUUUUAUCGCUUGUUACUUUGCUGUUUUUAUAUUUUUAGAUUACAAAAACCUAUAUCUACCAUCCAUAUUGCACUUGUAUCACCAUCUCUUCGCCGAACUAGUGCACCUAUACAAUUUACCAUUGUAUUGGGUGUGUUGGGGACACAAGAGACUCUUUAUUAUUUGGUUGUUGGGUUGUUUGAGAGAGACCAUCUUCAUCCUACGCCUCCCACGGAUUGAUAAACCUUAGGUCAUCCACUUAAGGGAAAUUUGCUACUGUCCUACAAAUCUCUGCACUUGGUGGCCCAACAACGUCUACAAGAAGAAUGUUGCUGAUACGUCUUCGUCGUAUCUACUUUUCCAAACACUUUUGCCCUUGUUUUGGACUCUAACUUGCAUGAUUUGAAUGGAACUAAUCCGGACUGACGCUGUUUUCAGCAGAAUUGCCAUGAUGUUGUUUUAUGUGUAGAUAACAAAAGUUCUCGGAAUGACCUGAAACUCCACGGAACAUCUAGUUAAAAAUAAUAAAAAAUCCUUGCCAAAGAUGAAGACCAGGGGGCCCACAUCCUGUCCACGAGGGUGGGGAGCGCCCCCCCUAGGGCGCGCCCCCUACCUCGUGGGCCCCCUGGAGCUCCUCCGACGCCAACUCCAACUCUAUAUAUUUGCUUUCAGGAAGAAAAAAAUAGAGGAGAAGAAAUCAUCAUGUUUUACGAUACGGAGCUGCCGCCAAGCCGUAGAACCUCUUGGGAGGGCUGAUCUGUAGUCCGUUCGGGGCUCCAGAGAGGGGGAUUCGUCACCAUCAUCAUCAUCAACCAUCCUCCAUCACCAAUUUCAUGAUGCUCACCGCCGUGCGUGAGUAAUUCCAUUGUAGGCUUGCUGGACGGUGAUGGGUUGGAUGAGAUCUAUCAUGUAAUCGAGUUAGUUUUGUUAGGGUUUGAUCUCUAGUAUCCACUAUGUUCUGAGAUUGAUGUUGCUAUGACUUUUCUAUGCUUAAUGCUUGUCACUAGGGCCCGAGUGCCAUGAUUUCAGAUCUGAACCUAUUAUGUUUUCAUGAAUAUAUGUGAGUUCUUGAUCCUAUCUUGCAAGUCUAUAGUCACCUACUAUGUGUUAUGAUCCGGCAACCCCGAAGUGAUAGUAAUCGGGACCACUCCUGGUGAUGACCGUAGUUUGAGGAGUUCAUGUAUUCACUAUGUGCUAAUGCUUUGUUCCGGUUCUCUAUUAAAAGGAGGCCUUAAUAUCCCUUAGUUUCCAUUAGGACCCCGCUGCCACGAGAGGGUAGGACAAAAGAUGUCAUGCAAGUUCUUUUCCAUAAGCACGUAUGACUAUAUUCGGAAUACAUGCCUACAUUACAUUGAUGAAUUGGGGCUGGUUCUGUGUCACCCUAUGUUAUGACUGUUACAUGAUGAACCGCAUCCAGCAUAAUUAUCCAUCACCGAUUCAAUACCUAUGAGUUUUCCAUCUACUGGUUUAUGCUUAUUUACUUUCCCAUUGCUACUGUUACAAUCACUACAAAAUACCAAAAAUAUUACUUUUGCUUUCAUUACUGUUUUGUUACCGUUACCACUACUAUCAUAUUAGUUUGCUACUAAACAAUUUGCUGCAGAUAUUAAGUUAUCCUGGUGUGGUUGAAUUGACAACUCAGCUGCUAAUACUUGAGAAUAUUCUUUGGCUCCCCUUGUGUCGAAUCAACAAAUUUGGGUUGAAUACUCUACCCUCGAAAGCUGUUGCGAUCCCCUACACUUGUGGGUUAUCAGUUGCGUAGUAGACAUCAGACACACACGUACACCUACACUCGGGCACACACGCACAGACCCGAGCCCACCACGGGCCGGACCUGACGCGACCAGGAUAUGCACACACACGUGCACGCUCUCAGCCCCGCCACGGCCUAGAGGAGGCCGACGUCCUCGACGCUGAUGUCCGCCAGCAAUGCGCGCUCCGUUGCCAGCUCCCUCCGUAGCUGGGGGCAGUCCCGCUUGAAAUGGCCGCGCUCUCCGCACUUGUAGUGACGCACGCGUCUGUUGCCGCCGUUGCCCGAUGCCAUGCUCCGCCCGUCGUCGUCGUCGUCCCGAGCGCCGCUCCCGCGCGCGCCCUUCUGCGCUCCCGCGCCCACCACUACGCCAUGGUUAGGAGGAGAUGAUUACCCCCGCGCUCGCCGCCGUCUUGUCCAUGGCACUGCGCCCGCUCAUCAAACGCACGCAGCCGCCCGAGCGCCUCGUCGAAUGCCAUCUCGUCGAUGUUGCAGAACUGCUGAAUGCCGGCGACGACGGGGAACAAGCAUUCGGGAAACAGUGUCCAGGAGCUUCUUCACGUGCGCCGCGUGGCCCAGCUUCUCCCCGAGGUUCGCGUAUCGCGCCGUCAUCGCAGCCAACCUCCCUGCAUACGCAUCCAGCCCCUCGCCAUCCGCCAUAUUCAAGUGAUCGAACUCGCCGCGGAGCGUCGCCAGCCGGGCCUCCCGCACCCGAUCGGCGCCGAUGAACCUCACCUUCAGAGAGUCCCAUACCUCUGUGGCGGUGAGCUUCAUCGCCACCGACAGUAGCGCAUCCUGUGGCAGCCCACCGAGGAUCAUCCCGCACACCGUCUUGCACUUCUUCGCGUUCACCGCCACAUUGCCCACCGGUGCCACCGCCUCCCACAGCGUGUGGGCAUCGAGGAUCGCCUGCGCCUUGAUCGCCCACACCAUGUAGUUGUCCACGUGAGCAUCGGCAUCGCCAUCGACGCCGAGCGCAUGCCUCCGCCGUGCGGCAUAAUUGCCAUCGCCGUCGACGAGCUCCCUCACCUCGCUCUGAUACCAAAUGUUGGUGCCACAGGCUGCGACACUCGACGGCGAUCACUGAAGACACGCUUAGAGAGGAGGAAGAAGAACACAGAGAAUUUUUCCGGCGCACGAACGCCCGCCGUCGGUGUCAAAACCAGCGGAUCUUGGGUAGGGGGUCCCGAACUGUGCGUCUAAGGUCGAUGAUAACAGGAGACAGGGGGCACAAUGUUUACCCAGGUUCGGGCCCUCUCUAUGGAGGUAAUACCCUACUUCCUGCUUGAUUGAUCUUGAUGAAUAUGAGUACUACAAGAGUUGAUCUACCACGAGAUCGUAAUGGCUAAAACCCUAGAAGUCUAGCCUAUAUGACUAUGAUUAUGAUGAUUGUUAUCUACGGACCUAGCCCUCCGGUUUAUAUAGACACCGGAGGGAUCUAGGGUUACAAGGUCAAAUACAGAGAAAGGAAUCUUCAUAUUCGAUCGCCAAGCUUGCCUUCCACGCCAAGGAGAGUCCCAUCCGGACACGGGUAGAGUCUUCGGUCUUUGUAUCUUCACAGACCAUCAGUCCGGCCCAUGGCUAACAGGCCGGGCACCCAAGGACCCCUUAGUCCAGGACUCCCUCAGUAGCCCCCGAACCAGACUUCAAUGACGAGGUGUUCGGCGCAUAGAUUGUCUUUUGCAUUGCAAGGCGGGUUCCUCCUCCAAUGACUUCAAAGUGAUGUAUUCGUCCUUCCAUUUAAUGUCGUACCCCUCGGCUUCUAUGUAUCAACAACUUCAGCUUCCACGUGUCAAGCGAAUGCGAGAGAUCAGGGUAUUUUUGCACAUAACACCCCAGCCAUGCGAGGAAGAGCGUCUAUUUAAAGAGAUUGGAUCUCAGAUCCAUUCGGCACCACGCGGAAAAAUCCUCAGAGAUUGCUAGGAAAGACCACUCCAAUGUGGCUAGCACUCCCAGCUCCACCUCCCGUCCCUACGGCCCAGAAAAAGGCGAGUGGGAGAGGUUCUCUGUAUCCCAUGGUCAGCUGGAGAAGCUGCAAACACAGGGAUUUCUUCCUCCUGCGGAUUUGGUCCCUGUUCGAGCAGGAUUGACCUCCUAUAAUGGCGGGGCUCAGGCUAAAAAUUUCCCCAAUCCAUCCAGGGGGAAUGAGUGUGCUUCGUCCCUUAUCUGCAAAGAGGUGUCAGAUUUCCAAUUCAUACAUUCCUCCGAGGGCUUCUGGAGUACUAUGGGCUCCAACUGCACAACUUCACUCCGGCCUCCAUCUUGCAUAUCGCGGGUUACGUCGCCCUUUGCGAGCUAUUCCUGGGUUGUGAGGCCCACUUUGAAUCGUGGAGAAAGUUAUUCUGUCUCGUCCCGCGCAACCACGAGGGAUCAAUAUUUGAAGUGGGCGGAGCCGAAAUAUGGCGCAUCGCUGAGACCGGAUACCUUUCCGAUACACCAAAGAAGGCAUCCGAACAGUGGCCUUCCAAAUGGUUCUAUAUUAACGACGUCGCACUUCCAGACCCAGUUCGGAGGGGUCUUCCUGAGUUCACAAGAUUUCCUUUGAAGAAACACCACAGCUGGCGCCCUCGGAGCCUCGAGGAGGAAGAUGGUGCGGAAGUUCAUCAACUCAUGAGCAAGAUAAGGACGCUCACUCAGUCUGGCUUAUCAAUAGUCGAAGUAAUGGCAACCUCCAUAGUACGGGGGGUUCAGCCACUCCAACACAGAGGGCUGCCCAUGUGGCACUACAAUGGGGAGGAUGACGCCUCCUACUGCGGUAGGAAGGGUCCGGACACCCCUGCCGCUCUGGCGAAAAUAUUGGCCGAACUGUUCAAAGGGGAGGAAGAGGAAUUUCUGCGUAUCAAGUGCAGAGAUGGAUUUUCCAUGUACAGUACUCCUAGCCGGGUAAGUCCCAACUCCUCUCCUCUACGCACUCCACUCCCUGAGCUACUUUCAAUGACUAUUAAUAUGUCCAUUUAUAAUAGCACUGGCAAAAGAUUUCCGAGGGGCUUCACAGCUCCUAUCCGCAGCCCGAGGGCCACAAUCGGGACCUUGACCCCGGAUUCGAAAAGGAUCCAGAUAUAUUCGUGGUGCUCGAGGAUGGGGUGUUUUACCAGGCGAGCUACGACGGCACAGAAGUGGCCAUCAUCGCCGAUUAUCCCGGUCUUCUCCCUGCUUCACACGUAAGUAAUAAGGAGACAUCUCAUCCGAAAGAGUUCUCUCAGUCUGCCUCACCCCCCGCACCGUCCUGUGCUCAAAAGGGGAGGCGUUCAGCGUGCCACACUGCCCCAGGGGCAUCUCCAAAGAGAGCGGCCCCCACGCCGGGCAAGCCUUCGAAGAGGAAGGCAAAAAAAGAUACGGUCGAGCCUUCAUCGAAGAGGUAUGUGAUACGUCCAUUUUGCAUCAUGUUUUUAUAUCAAUAUUUAUUGCAUUAUGGACUGUUAUUUCACUUUAUGUCAGAAUACUUAUGGCUAUUCUCUCUUAUUUUACAAGGUUUACAUAAAGAGGGAGAAUGUCGGCAGCUUGAAUUCUGGUCUAGUAAAGGAGCAAAUAUUAGAGACCUAUUCUGCGCAACUCCAAAAGUCCUGAAACUCCACGGAACGUCUUAAAAGAAAUAAAGAAAAAUCCACGCCAAAGAUGAAGGCCAGGGGGCCCACACCCUGCUCACGAGGGUGGGGGCGCCCCCCCCAGGGCGUGCCCCCCUAUCUCGUGGGCCCCCUGGUGGCUCUCCGAUGCCCAUCUUCUCCUAUAUGAGGUCUUUCGAUGAGAAAAAAAAAUAGGAAGGAACUUUUUAGGACGAGACUCCGCCGCCACGAGGUGGAACCUUGGCGGAUCCAAUCUAGAGCUCCGGCAGAGCUGUUCUACCGGGGAUACUUCCCUCCCGGAGGGGGAAAUCAUCACCAUCGUCAUCACCAAUGCUCCUCUCAUCGGGAGAGGGCAAUCUCCAUCAACAUCUUCACCAGCACCAUCUCAUCUCCAAACCCUAGUUCAUCUCUUGCAUCCAAUUCUUGUCUCAAAGUCCGGGAUUGGUGCUAGUAGGUUGCUAGUAGUGUUGAUUACUCCUUGUAGUUGAUGCUAGUUGGUUUAAUUGGUGGAAGAUCAUAUGUUCAGAUCCUAUAUGCAUAUUAUUACCCCUCUGAUUAUGAACAUGAAUAUGCUUUGUGAGUAAUUACGAUCGUUCCUGAGGACAAGGGAGAAGUCUUGCUAUGAGUAGUGAUGUGAAUUUGGUAUUCGUUUGAUAUUUUGAUAAGAUGUAUGUUGUCUAGCCUCUAGUGGUGUUAUGUGAACGUCGACUACAUAACACUUCACAAUUAUUUGGGCCUAGAGGAAGGCAUUGGGAAGUAAUAAGUAGAUGAUGGGUUGCUAGAGUGACAAAAGCUUAAACCCUAGUUUAUGCGUUGCUUCGUAAGGGGCUGAUUUGGAUCCAUAUGUUUCAUGCUAUGGUUAGGUUUACCUUAAUACUUUUGUUGUAGUUGCGGAUGCUUGCAAUAGAGGUUAAUCAUAAGUGGGAUGCUUGUUCAAGUAAGAACAACACCCAAGCACCGGUCCACCCACAUAUCAAAUUAUCAAAGUAUCGAACGCGAAUCAUAUGAACGUGAUGAAAAAUAGCUUGACGAUAUUCCCAUGUGUCCUCGGGAGCGCUUUUCCUAUUAUAAGAGUUUGUUCCGGCUUGUCCUUUGCUACAAAAGGAUUGGGCCACCUUGCUGCACUUUAUCUACUUUUGUUACUUGUUGCUCGUUACAAUUUAUCCUAUCACAAAACUAUCUGUUACCACUUAUUUCAGUACAUGCAGAGAAUACCUUGCUGAAAACCGCUUAUCAUUUCCUUCUGCUCGUCGUUGGGUUCGACACUCUUACUUAUCGAAAGUACUACGAUAUAUCCCCUAUACUUGUGGGUCAUCAAGACUCUUUUCUGGCGCCGUUGUUGGGGAGUGUAGUGCCUUUGGUAAGUCGAAUUUGGUAAGGAAAAAUUUAUAUAGUAUGCUGAAAUUUACUGUCACUUGUUACUAUGGAAAGUAAUUCUCUGAGGGACUUGUUCGGGGUAUCUUCACCCCGUCCAGUAGAGCAAAGAGUUUCUCCUCAACCUACUGAACCUAUUGAAAAUGAAACUCCUUUUGAAUUUCCUGCGGCUAUGAUGGAAAAACUGCUAGCUAACCCUUUUACAGGAGAUGGAACAAAGCAUCCCGAUGAGCACUUAAUAUAUGUGGAUGAAGUUUGUGGAUUAUUUAAGCUUGCAGGUAUACCCAAUGAUGUUGCUAAUAAGAAGGUCUUCCCUUUAUCUUUGAAGGGAGAUGCAUUGAUAUGGUAUAGGCUAUGUGAUGAUAUGAGAUUCUAGAACUAUAAAAGAUUGAAGUUGGAAUUUCAUCAAAAGUAUUACCCUAUGCAUCUUGUUCAUCGUGAUCGCAAUUACAUAUAUAAUUUCUGGCCUCGCGAAGGAGAAAGCAUCGCUCAAGCUUAGGGGAGGCUUAAAUCAAUGUUAUAUUCAUUCCCCAAUCAUGAGCUCCCGAGAGAAAUAAUUAUGCAAAGUUUUUAUGCUCAGCUUUCUGAAAACAAUCGCAACAUGCUCGAUACUUAUUGUGCUGGCUCUUUUAUGAUGAAGACUAUUAAAUUCAGAUGGAAUUUAUUGGAUAGAAUUAAACGCAACUCUGAAGAUUGGGACCUCGACGAAGGUAAGGAGUCAGGUAUGACACCUAAGUUUGAUUGUGUUAAAUCUUCCAUGGAUACCGAUAUUUUCCGUAAGUUUAGCAUUAAAUAUGGACUUGACUCUGAGAUAGUAGCUUCUUUCUGUGAAUCUUUUGCUACUUAUGUUGAUCUCCCUAAGGAUAAGUGGUUUAAAUAUCAUCCUCCCAUAGAAGUAAAAGUAGCUGCAUCUAUUAAAGUUGAAGAAAAGACGGUCACUUAUAAUGAUCCUAUUAUUCCUACUUCUUAUAUUGAGAAACCACCUUUCCCUGUUAGAAUAAAGGAUCACGCUAAAGCUUCAACUAUUGUUCGUAAAAGCAAUAUUAGAACUUAUACACCUCCUGAGAAAGUUAAAGUAGAACCUAAUAUUGCUAUAGUUAAAGAUCUCUUGUCUGAUAAUAUUGAUGGGCAUGUUAUUCAGUUCGAAGGUGAAACUGCUAGAAUUGCCAAACCUUGUGAUAAGGAUAAACAUAGACCUGUAGUAGGCAUGCCUGUUAUUUCUUUUAAAAUAGGAGAUAAUUGUUAUCAUGGCUUAUGUGAUAUGGGUGCUAGUGCUAGCGUUAUACCUCAUGACUUAUACAAAGAAAUUAAGAAUGAAAUUGCACCUCUUGAGUUAGAAGAUAUUGAUGUUACUAUUAAACUUGCCAAUAGAGAUACUAUUGCACCAAUUGGAAUUGUUAGAGAUGUUGAAGUCUUGUGUGGGAAAACUAAAUAUCCUGCUGAUUUUCUUGUUCUUGGUUCCCCACAAGAUAGCUUUUGUCCAAUUAUAUUUGGUAGACCCUUCUUAAAUACUGUCAAUGCUACCAUAGACUGCACUAAGAAUAUUGUUACUGUUGGCUUGGAUGAUAUGGUUCAUGAGUUUAAUUUCUCUAAAUUUAGUAAACAACAUCGUGAGGAAGAAUUACCUAGUAAGGAUGAAAUUAUUGGUCUUGCUUCUAUUGCCGUGCCUCCUAGUGAUCCUUUAGAACACUAUUUGCUAGACCAUGAAAAUGAUAUGUUCAUGAAUGAAAGAAGGGAAAUAGAUGAUGUAUUCUUUAAACAGGAACCUGUUCUGAAACACAAUUUGCCUGUUGAAAUUUUAGGGGAUCCUCCUCCACCCAAGGGUGAUCCCGUGUUUGAGCUUAAACCUUUGCCUUAUAAUCUCAAAUAUGCUUAUCUUGAUGAAAAGAAGAUGUAUCCUGUUAUUAUUAGUGCUAACCUUUCAGAGCAUGAUGAAGAAAGAUUAUUGAAAACUCCGAAGAAGCAUCGUGCUGCUAUUGGAUAUACUCUUGAUGAUCUUAAGGGCAUUAGUCCCACUCUAUGCCAACAUAAAAUAAAUUUGGAAGCAGAUGCCAAACCAGUUUGUGAUCCUCAACGACGUCUGAAUCCUAAAAUGAAAGAAGUGGUAAGAAAAGAAAUACUAAAGCUUCUGGAGGUAGGUAUAAUCUAUCCCAUUGCUGAUAGUGAGUGGGUAAGUCCUGUCCAUUGUGUCCCUAAGAAGGGAGGUGUUACUGUUGUUCCUAAUGAUAAUGAUGAAUUGAUUCCACAAAGAAUUAUCACAGGUUAUAGGAUGGUAAUUGAUUUCCACAAAUUAAAUAAAGCUACUAAGAAAGAUCAUUACCCCUUACCUUUUAUUGAUCAAAUGCUAGAAAGAUUAUGCAAACAUACACACUAUUACUUUCUAGAUGGUUAUUAUGGUUUCUCUCAAAUACCUGUGCCGGCUAAAGAUCAAUCAAAGACUACUUUUACAUGCCCUUCUGGUACUUUUGCUUAUAGACGUAUGCCUUUUGGUUUAUGUAAUGCACCUGCUACCUUUCAAAGAUGCAUGAUGGCUAUAUUCUGUGACUUCUGUGAAAAGAUUUGUGAGGUUUUCAUGGAUGACUUUUCUGUCUAUGGUUCCUCUUUUGAUGAUUGCUUGAGCAAUCUUAAUCGAGUUUUGCAGAGAUGUGAAGAAACUAAUCUUGUCUUGAAUUGGGAAAAGUGCCACUUUAUGGUUAAUGAAGGUAUUGUCUUGGGGCAUAAAGUUUCUGAAAGAGGUAUUGAAGUUGAUAAAGCCAAGGUUGAUGCUAUUGAAAAAAUGCCAUGUCCCAAGGACAUCAAAGGUAUAAGAAGUUUCCUUGGUCACGCCGGAUUUUACAGGAGGUUCAUUAAGGACUUCUCAAAAAUUUCUCGGCCUCUGACUAAUUUACUGCAAAAAGAUAUACCAUUUGUCUUUGAUGAUGAUUGUGUAGAAGCAUUUGAAAUACUUAAGAAAGCAUUAGUCUCUGCACCUAUUGUUCAGCCACCUGAUUGGAAUUUACCCUUUGAAAUUAUGUGUGAUGCUAGUGAUUAUGUUGUAGGUGCUGGUCUAGGGCAAAGAGUUGAUAAGAAAUUAAAUGUUAUUCAUUAUGCCAGUAAGACUCUAGACAAUGCUCAAAGAAAUUAUGGUAUUACUGAAAAAGAACUUUUAGCAAUUGUAUUUGCUUGUGAUAAGUUCAGAUCUUAUAUUGUUGAUUCUAAAGUAACUAUUCAAACAGAUCAUGCUGCUAUUAAAUAUCUUAUGGAAAAGAAAGAUGCUAAACCUAGACUUAUUAGAUGGGUUCUCUUGCUACAAGAAUUUGAUUUGCAUAUUGCUGAUAGAAAGGGAGCUGAGAACCCCGUUGCAGACAACUUGUCUAGGUUAGAAAUAUUCUUGAUGACACACUACCUAUUAAUGAUGACUUUCCUGAUGAGCAAUUAAAUGCUAUAAGUACUUCUCGUAGUACUCCAUGGUAUGCUGAUUAUGCUAAUUAUAUUGUUGCUAAGUUUAUACCACCUAGCUUCACAUACCAGCAAAAGAAAAAGCUUUUCUAUGACUUGAGACAUUACUUUUGGGAUGACCCACAUCUUUAUAAAGAAGGAGUAGAUGGUGUUAUUAGACGUUGUGUACCUGAGCAUGAACAGGAACAGAUCCUACGCAAGUGUCAUUCCGGGUCUUAUGGAGGACACCACGCUGGAGAUAGAACUGUACAUAAGGUAUUGCAAUCUGGUUUUUAUUGGCCUACUCUCUUCAAGGAUGCCCGUAAGUUUGUCUUGUCUUGUGAUGAAUGUCAAAGAAUUGGUAAUAUUAGUAGACGUCAAGAAAUGCCUAUGAAUUAUUCACUUUUUAUUGAACUGUUUGAUGUUUGGGGCUUUGAUUAUAUGGGACCUUUUCCUGCCUCUAAUGGAUACACACAUAUUUUAGUUGCUGUUGAUUACGUUACUAAGUGGGUAGAAGCUAUUCCAACUAGUAGUGCUGAUCAUAACACUUCUAUUAAAAUUCUUAAAGAAGUUAUUUUUCCAAGGUUUGGAGUCCCUAGAUAUUUAAUGACUGAUGGUGGUUCACACUUUAUUCAUGGUGCUUUCCGUAAAAUGCUUGCUAAAUAUGAUGUUAAUCAUAGAAUUGCAUCCCCUUGUCACCCACAGUCUAGUGGUCAAGUAGAGUUGAGCAAUAGAGAGCUCAAAUUAAUUUUGCAAAAGACUGUUAAUAGGUCUAGAAAGAAUUUGUCUAAGAAACUUGAUGAUGCAUUAUGGGCUUAUAGAACUGCAUACAAAAAUCCUAUGGGUAUGUCCCCGUAUAAAAUGGUUUAUGGAAAAGCAUGUCAUUUACCUCUCGAACUAGAACAUAAGGCAUAUUGGGCUAUUAAAGAACUCAACUAUGAUUUUAAACUUGCCAGUGAGAAGAGGUUAUUUGAUAUUAGCUCACUUGAUGAAUGGAGAACCCAAGCUUAUGAAAAUGCCAAGUUGUUUAAAGAAAAAGUUAAAAGAUGGCAUGACAAAAGGAUACAAAAGCGUGAGUUUAAUGUAGGUGAUUAUGUAUUGCUAUACAACUCUCGUUUAAGAUUUUUUGCAGGAAAACUUCUCUCUAAAUGGGAAGGCCCCUACGUCAUCGAGGAGGUCUAUCAUUCCGGUGCCAUAAAAAUCAACAACUUCGAGGGCACAAAUCCGAAGGUGGUAAAUGGUCAAAGAAUUAAACAUUAUAUCUCAGGUAAUCCCAUAAAUGUUGAAACCAAUAUUAUUGAAACCAUAACCCCGGAGGAAUACAUAAGGGACACUUUCUGGAACGUUUCAGACUCCGAAAAGGAAUAGGUAUGUGGUACGGUAAGUAAACCGACUCCAAAACAAUUUUUAAGGCAAUAUUUCUUCGUUUUGGAAUAUUUAGAAAAAUAGAAAAAUAAGUAGCAGUCCGGGAAGGAUACGAGGGCCCCACGAGGGUGGUGGGCACGCCCUACCCCCCUGGGCGCGCCCCCUACCUCGUGAGCGCCUCGUGUGCCCUCCGGACUUUGUUUUCUUGCACGAUAUGUAUUUUGGUCAGUAAAAAUUCAUUAUAUAACCUCCCGAAGGUUUUGACUUCCGUAUCACGCAAAUUUCCUUUGUUUGUGUUUUCGAGCUGUUGCUACUGCAGAUUAGAGCAAGAUGUCUUCUCAAGAGUCAAUCGGGGAGAGCCGGGUAUCUAAUCCGGCACCGGAACCAAGGGCAAACAGCGACGCUGACCACUUUGGGCCAGUAACGGAGGAAGAGAUGCAGGCUGACUUAAUGAGAGUAGAUGCCAUGGAGGAUCAAGAAGUUACCUCUCGCCUCCGAGCUGGGUUCACGAUGGGGCAACUGCAGAGCUCAGCUAUUCCAAACUCGGUUAUCCCUUCUAACGUUAGAUUUCUUUCUUAUGAAAAUAUGAAGAGAAGUGUCACUUGUUCUCCCGCAGCGAUGCAACACCCUUGGGUGCAAGGAGCUUUAGCUGUCACAGGAAAGCUUCGUAAGGAAAUAAUGGAUCUCAAACAGCAAGUCAAUAAGCUCGAGGAGGAGAACCGCAUCCAUAGGGGAAUCAUCGCCAAGAAUAUUACACCGACAACAAAAAAGGAGACAUAACCAGAUGGGUAUGGGCACCCCCCUUGGCAACUGCCAAGCUUGGGGGAGGUGCCCAGGUAUCGUAUCACAAUCACAACUCCUAUUUUACCGGUUUUCUUAGUUCGAUCCUAUUAGUAGUAUCUUGAUCUAUUAGAAUAAAGUUUGUGGCAUUAUCUAGUUUCGAGUUUUGCUUUAUGAUCUCUCUAUGUAAUCGAGUCCGUGAGUUAUAUAUAAUAAAGAUUAGUGUUGAGUCAAGGGCUUGAUUAUUUUGCCAUGAUCUUGGUGAAUAAAAGAAAAGAUAAAAAGAAUAAAAAGAAACAAAAGGGUUCAUAUUGAUCUUAUUGAGAGUAAUGACUUCACAUAGAAAGAGUAUGAUGAUUAAAAGUUGUUGGGAAUUGGCAGACAUAGCUUUGGUCAUUGUUGCAAUUAAUAGGAAGUCAUAAGGAAAGAGAGGUUUUCACAUAUAGAUAUAUUAUCAUUGACAUCUUUUAUGAUUGGGAGAACUUAUUAAAAUAUGACAUGCUAAAGAGUUGAUGUUGGACAAGGAAGACAACGUAAUGAGUUAUGUCUUUCUUAUAUCUGAGAUAAAGUAUGUUGUCAUGGUUCCCCUAACUUGUUGAUCUUGCCUUUCCCCCUCAUGCUAGCCAAAUUAUCAGCACCAAGUAGAAAUACUACUUGUGGUUCCAAAUAUCCCUAAACCAGUUUUGCCAUGAGAGUCCACCAUAUCUACCUAUGGAUUGAGUAAGAUCCUUCAAGUAAGUUGUCAUCGGUGCAAAGCAAUAAAAAUUGCUCUAAAUAUCCUUGUUCAAGAAUUCAUCCGAUUAACCAGUUAACUUGCCGAUUACUCCCUACUCAUAGGGUCACUUAGUAGCCGAUAAACCAAAAAAUCGUCUGAUUAAUUGAUUAAAUGGCCGAUUAACUUGCCGAUUAGCCGAUUAAUCCCCUACUCACUAGCCAACCGAGCAGCUACUAGUUAAUGAUUUCCUCAACAAUGCUAAAUAUGUAUGAUUGAUUGGUGUGGGAGAAAUAAGCUUUAUACGAUCUUGUGAUGUGGAAGUAAUAAAAGCAAUGGACUGCAUAAUAAAGGUUCAUAUCACAAGGGGCAAUAUAAAGUGACGUUCUUUCACAUUGAGAUUUUAUAUAUCCAACCAUAAAAGCGCAUGGCAACCUCUGCUUCCCUCUACGAAGGGCCUACCCUUAUUAUUAUCUCCUACCUUAUGCAAGAGUCAUGGUGAUCUUCACCUUUCCUUUUUGAUUUUAUCCUUUGGCAAGCUCAGCAUGUUGGAAAGAACAUGAUAUAUAUAUCUAAUUGGAUGUAGGGGAGCAUGAACUAUUAUUGUUGACAUUACCCUUGAGGUAAAAGGUUGUGGGGCAAAACUAUAAGCCCCUAUUUUUCUCUGUGUCCGAUUAAAGCUCCGUAACCACAAGUAUUGCGUGAGUGUUAUCAAUUAUGGGAGACUAAAUGAUAGUUGAGUAUGUGGACUUGCUUUUUAGCUCUGACAUAGACUCUUUCCGAUGUUAUGAUAAAUUGCAAUUGCUUCAAUGACUGAGAUUAUAGUUUGUUGGAGCCCAAUAAGGUUUAUGAUUUAUACUUUUUGCAUUGUGAAUAGAUCAUCACUUGAACAUAAGUAAUCAUAUGACAAAAUCUAUAUAUGUUGCUGUUAUAAGAAUAAUCAUGAUGCCUUCAUGUCCGUAUUUUAUUUUUAUCGACGCCUCUACCUCUAAACAUGAGGACAUAUUUAUUGUUAUCAGCUUUUCGCUUGAGGACAAGCGAGGUCUAAGCUUGGGGGAGUUGAUACGUCCAUUUUUCAUCAUGCUUUUAUAUCGAUAUUUAUUGCAUUAUGGACUGUUAUUUCACUUUAUGUCAUAAUACUUAUGGCUAUUCUCUCUUAUUUUACAAGGUUUACAUAAAGAGGGAGAAUGCCGACAGCUGGAAUUCUGGUCUGGAAAAGGAGCAAAUAUUAGAGACCUAUUAUAUGCAACUCCAAAAUUCCUGAAACUCCACGGAACGUCUUAAAAGAAAUAAAGAAAAAUCCACACCAAAGAUGAAGGCCAGGGGGCCCACACCCUGCUCACGAGGGUGGGGGGCGCCCCCUCCCCCUAGGGUGCGCCCCCCAAUCUCGUGGGCCCCCUGGUGGCUCUCUAAUGCCCAUCUUCUCCUAUAUGAGGUCUUUCGAUGAGAAAAAAUAGGAAGGAACUUUUCGGGACGAGACUUUGCCUCCACGGGGCGAAACCUUGGCGGAUCCAUCUAGAGCUCCGGCAGAGCUGUUCUGCCGGGGAUACUUCCGUCCCAGAGGGGGAAAUCAUCACCAUCGUCAUCACCAAUGCUCCUCUCAUCGAGAGAGGGCAAUCUCCAUCAACAUCUUCACCAGCACCAUCUCAUCUCCAAACCCUAGUUCAUCUCUUGCAUCCAAUUCUUGUCUCAAAGUCCGGGAUUGGUGCUAGUAGGUUGCUAGUAGUGUUGAUUACUCCUUGUAGUUGAUGCUAGUUGGAUUAAUUGGUGGAAGAUCAUAUGUUCAGAUCCUAUAUGCAUAUUAUUACCCCUCUGAUUAUGAACAUGAAUGUGCUUUGUGAGUAAUUACGUUCGUUCCUGGGGACAAGGGAGAAGUCUUGCUAUGAGUAGUCAUGUGAAUUUGGUAUUCGUUUGAUAUUUUGAUAAGAUGUAUGUUGUCUAGCCUCUAGUGGUGUUAUGUGAACGUCGACUACAUAACACUUCACCAUUACUUGGGCCUAGAGGAAGGCAUUGGGAAGUAAUAAGUAGAUGAUGGGUUGCUAGAGUGACAGAAGCUUAAACCCUAGUUUAUGCGUUGCUUCGUAAGGGGCUGAUUCGGAUCCAUAUGUUUCAUGCUAUGGUUAGGUUUACCUUAAUACUUUUGUUGUAGUUGCGGAUGCUUGCAAUAGAGGUUAAUCAUAAGUGGGAUGCUUGUUCAAGUAAGAACAGCACCCAAGCACCAGUCCACCCAAAUAUCAAAUUAUCAAAGUAUCGAACGCGAAUCAUAUGAACGUGAUGAAAACUAGCUUGACGAUAUUCCCAUGUGUCCUCGGGAGCGCUUUUCCUAUUAUAAGAGUUUGUUCCGGCUUGUCCUUUGCUACAAAAGGAUUGGGCCACCUUGCUGCACUUUAUUUACUUUUGUUACUUAUUGCUCGUUACAAUUUAUCCUAUCACAAAACUAUCUGUUACCACUUAUUUCAGUACUUGCAGAGAAUACCUUGCUGAAAACCGCUUAUCAUUUCCUUCUGCUCGUUGUUGGAUUCGACACUCUUACUUAUCGAAAGGACUACGAUAGAUCCCCUAUACUUGUGGGUCAUCAAUAUGGAUUUGCAAAUAUGUCCUUCAGCAAUCGCAUCCAAUUGUGACUUUUAUGUUUACCUUGUAUCGGGAAAAGAGUGUGCCGGACUAUGUCCGGGGGUCCGGCCGGUCAUACUUGUUGGGGAACGUAGUAAUUUCAAAAAAAAUCCUACGCACACGCAAGAUCAUGGUGAUGCAUAGCAACGAGAGAAGAGAGUGUUGUCUACGUACCCUCGUAGACCGAAAGCGGAAGCGUUAGCACAAUGCGGUUGAUGUAGUCGUACGUCUUCACGGCCUGACCGAUCAAGCACCGAAACUACGACACCUCAGAGUUCUAGCACACGUUCAGCUCGAUGACGAUCCCCGGACUCCGAUCCAGCAGAAUGUCGGGGAAGAGUUCCAUUAGCACGACGGCGUGGUGACGAUCUUGAUGUUCUACCGUCGCAGGGCUUCGCCUAAGCACCGCUACAAUAUUAUCGAGGAUUAUGGUGGAAGGGGGCACCGCACACGGCUAAGAGAUUAAUGAUCAAUUGUUGUGUCUUUGGGGUGCCCCCCUGCACCCGUAUAUAAAGGAGCAAGGGAGGAGGAGGCCGGCCCUAGGAGGGGGCGUGCCAAGUGUGGAGUCCUACUAGGACUCCCUAGUCCUGGUAGGAUUCCACCUCCCAUAUGGAAUAGGAAAAGAGGAAGGGAAAAGGAGAAGGAAGGAAGGGGGCGCCCCCCUUCCCUAGUCCAAUUCGGACCAGACCAAGGGGAGGGGUGCGGCCACCCUUGAGGCCCUUUUCCUUCUUUCCCGUAUGGCCCAAUAGGGUCCAUACGUAUUCCCGUAACUCUCCGGUACUCCGAAAAAUACUCGAAUCAUUCGGAACCUUUCUGAUGUCCGAAUAUAGUCGUCCAAUAUAUCGAUCUUUACGUCUCGACUAUUUCGAGACUCCUCGUCAUGUCCCCGAUCUCAUCCGGGACUCCGAACUCCUUCGGUACAUCAAAACUCAUAAACUCAUACAAUAACUGUCAUCGAAACCUUAAGCGUGCGGACACUACGGGUUCGAGAACAAUGUAGACAUGACCGAGACACGUCUCCGGUCAAUAACAAAUAGCGGAACCUGGAUGCUCAUAUUGGCUCCCACAUAUUUUACGAAGAUCUUUAUCGGUCAGACCGCAUAACAACAUACGUUGUUCCCUUUGUCAUCGGUAUGUUACUUGACCGAGAUUCGAUCGUCGGUAUCUCAAUACCUAGUUAAAUCUCGUUACCGGCAAUUAUCUUUACUCGUUCCGUAAUACAUCAUCCUGCAACUAACUCAUUAGUUGCAAUGCUUGCAAGGCUUAAGUGAUGUGCAUUACCGAGAGGGCCCAGAGAUACCUCUCCGACAAUCGGAGUGACAAAUCCUAAUCUCGAAAUACGCCAACCCAACAAGUACCUUUGGAGACACCUGUAGAGCACCUUUAUAAUCACCCAGUUACGUGACGUUUGGUAGCAGACAAAGUGUUCCUCCGGUAAACGGGAGUUGCAUAAUCUCAUAGUCAUAGGAACAUGUAUAAGUCAUGAAGAAAGCAAUAGCAACAAACUAAACGAUCAAGUGCUAAGCUAACGGAAUGGGUCAAGUCAAUCACAUCAUUCACCUAAUGAUGUGAUCACGUUAAUCAAAUGACAACUCAUGUCUAUGGCUAGGAAACUUAACCAUCUUUGAUUCAACGAGCUAGUCAAGUAGAGGCAUACUAGUGACAUACUGUUUGUCUAUGUAUUCACACAUGUAUUAUGUUUCCGGUUAAUACAAUUCUAGCAUGAAUAAUAAACAUUUAUCAUGAUAUAAGGAAAUAAAUAAUAACUUUAUUAUUGCCUCUAGGGCAUAUUACCUUCAGUCUCCCACUUGCACUAGAGUCAAUAAUCUAGUUCACAUCGCCAUGUGAUUUAACAUCAAUAGUGCACAUCACCAUGUGAUUAACACCCAUAGUUCACAUCGUCAUGUGACCAACACCCAAAGGGUUUACUAGAGUCAAUAAUCUAGUUCACAUCGCUAUGUGAUUAAUACCCAAAGAGUACUAAGGUGUGAUCAUGUUUUGCUUGUGAGGGAAGUUUAGUCAACGGGUCUGCCACAUUCAGAUCCAUACGUAUUUUGCAAAUUUCUAUGUCAACAAUGCUCUGCACGAAGCUACUCUAGCUAAUUGCUCCCACUUUCAAUAUGUAUCCAGAUUGAGAUUUAGAGUCAUCUAGAUCAGUGUCAAAACUUGCAUCGAUGUAACCCUUUACGACGAACCUUUUGUCACCUCCAUAAUCGAGAAACAUAUCCUUAUUCCACUAUGGAUAAUUUUGACCAAUGUCCAGUGAUCUACUCCUAGAUCACUAUUGUACUCCCUUGCCAAACUCAGAGCAGGGUAUACAAUAGGUCUGGUACACAGCAUGGCAUACUUUAUAGAACCUAUGGCUGAGGCGGAAUGACUUUCAUUCUCUCUCUAUCUUCUGCUGUGGUCGGUUUUUGAGUCUUACUCAACUUCACACCUUGUAACACAGGCAAGAACUCUUUCUUUGACUGUUCCAUUUUGAACUACUUCAAAAUCUUGUCAAGGUAUGUACUCAUUGAAAAACUUAUCAAGCGUCUUGAUCUAUCUCUAUAGAUCUUGAUGCUCAAUAUGUAAGCAACUUCACCGAGGUCUUUCUUUGAAAAAACUCCUUUCAAACAUUCCUUUAUGCUUUGCAGAAUAAUUCUACAUCAUCUUCGAUCAACAAUAUGCCAUACAUAUACUUAUCAGAAAUGCUGUAGUGCUCCCACUCACUUUCUUGUAAAUACAGGCUUCACCGCAAGUCUGCAUAAAACUAUAUGCUUUGAUCAACUUAUCAAAGUGUAUAUUCCAACUCCGAGAUGCUUGCACCAGUCCAUAGAUGGAUCGCUGGAGCUUGCAUAUUUUGUUAGUACCUUUAGGAUUGACAAAACUUUCUGGUUGCAUCAUAUACAACUCUUCUUUAAUAAAUCCUAUUAAGGAAUGCAGUUUUGUUUAUCCAUUUGCCAUAUUUCAUAAAAUGCGGUAAUUGCUAACAUGAUUCGGACAGACUUAAGCAUAGGUACGAGUGAGAAAUUCUCAUCGUGGUCAACACUUUGAACUUGUCGAAAACCUUUUUGCGACAAUUCUAUCUUUGUAGAUAGUAAGACUACUAUCAGUGUCCGUCUUCCUCUUCAAGAUCCAUUUAAUCUUAAUGGCUCGCCGAUCAAUGGGCAAGUCAAUCAAAGUCCAUACUUUGUUCUCAUACAUGGAUCUCAUCUCAGAUUUCAUGGCCUCAAGCCAUUUUGUGGAAUAUGGGCUCAUCAUCGCUUCCUCAUAGUUCGUAGGCUCGUCAUGGUCAAGUAACAUGACCUCUAGAACAGGAUCACCAUACCACUCUGGUGCGGAUCUCACUCUGGUUUACCUACGAGGUUCGGUAGUAACUUGAUUUGAAGUUACAUGAUCAUCAUCAUUAGCUUCCUCACUAAUUGGUGUAGUAGUCACAGGAACAGAUUUCUGUGAUGAACUACUUUCCAAUAAGGGAGCAGGUACAGUUACCUCAUCAAGUUCUACUUUCCUCCCACUCACUUCUUUCGAGAGAAACUCCUUCUCUAGAAAGGAUCCAUUCUCAGCAAGGAAUAUCUUGCCUUCGGAUCUGUGAUAGAAGGUGUACCCAACAUCUUCUUUUGGGUAUCCUAUGAAGAUGCACUUCUCCGAUUUGGGUUUGAGCUCAUCAGGUUGAAACUUUUUCACAUAAGCAUUGCAACCUCAAACUUUAAGAAAUGAUAGCUUAGGUUUCUUGCCAAACCAUAGUUCAUACGGUGUCGUCUCAACGGAUCAAGAUGGUGCCCUAUUUAAUGUGAAUGUAGCUGUCUCUAAUGCAUAACCCCAAAACUAUAGUGGUAAAUCGGUAAGAGACAUCAUAGAUCGCACCAUAUCUAAUAAAGAACGGUUACGAUGUUCGGACACACCAUUACACUGUGGUGUUCUAGGUGGCGUGAGUAGUGAAACUAUUUCACAUUGUUUUAACUGAAGCCCAAACUCGUAACUCAAAUAUUUUACUUCUGCGAUCAUAUCAUAGAAACUUUUAUUUUUGUUACGAUGAUUCUCCACUUCACUCUAAAAUUCUUUGAACUUUUCAACUAUUUCAGACUUGUGUUUCAUUAAGUAGAUAUACCCAUAUCUUCUCAAAUCAUCUGUGAAGGUCAGAAAAUAAUGAUACUUGCCGUGAGCCUUAACACUCAUUGGACCGCAUACAUCAGUAUGUAUUAUUUCCAAUAAGUUAGUUGCUCGCUUCAUUGUUCCGGAGAACGGAGUCUUAGUCAUCUUGCCCAUGAGGCAUGGUUCGCAAGCAUCAAGUGAUUCAUAAUCAAGUGAUUCCAAAAGUCCAUCAGCAUGGAGUUUCUUCAUGCGCUUUACACCAAUAUGACCUAAACGGCAGUGCCACAAAUAAGUUGCACUAUCAUUGUUAAUUUUGCAUCUUUUGGUUUCAAUAUUAUGAAUAUGUGUAUCACUAUGAUCGAGAUCCAACGAACCAUUUUCAUUGGGUGUGUAACCAUAUAAGGUUUUAUUCAUGUAAACAGAACAACAAUUUAUUCUCUUACUUAAAUGAAUAAUUGUAUUGCAAUAAACAUGAUCAAAUCAUAUUCAUGCUCAACGCAAACACCAAAUAACACUUAUUUAGGUUCAACACUAAUCCUGAAAGUAUAGGGAGUGUGCGAUGAUGAUCAUAUCAAUCUUGGAACCACUUCCAACACACAUCGUCACUUCACCCUUAACUAGUCUCUGUUCAUUCUGCAACUCCCGUUUCGAGUUACUACUCUUAGCAACUGAACCAGUAUUAAAUACCGGGGGGUUGCUACGAACACUAGUAAAAUACACAUCAAUAAUCCGUAUAUCAAAUAUACCUUUGUUCACUUUGCCAUCCUUCUUAUCCGCCAAAUACUUGGGGCAGUUCCGCUUCCAGUGACCAGUCCCUUUACAGUAGAAGCACUUAGUCUCAGUCUUAGGACCAGACUUGGGCUUCUUCACUUGAGCAGCAACUUGCUUGCCGUUCUUCUUGAAGUUCCCCUUCUUCCCUUUGCCCUUUUCUUGAAACUAGUGGUCUUGUCUACCAUCAACACUUGAUAUUUUUCUUGAUUUCUACCUUCGUUGAUUUCAGCAUUACGAAGAGCUUGGGAAUCGUUUCCGUUAUCCCUUGCAUAUCAUAGUUCAUCACGAAGUUCUACUAACUUGGUGAUGGUGACAAGAGAAUUCUGUCAAUCACUAUCUCAUCUGGAAGAUUAACUCCCACUUGAUUCAAGCGAUUGUAGUACCCAGACAAUCUGAGCACAUGCUCACUGCUUGAGCUAUUCUCCUCCAUCUUUUAGCUAUAGAACUUGUUGGAGACUUCAUAUCUCUCAACUCGGGUAUUUGCUUGAAGUAUUAACUUCAACUCCUGGAACAUCUCAUAUGGUCCAUGACAUUCAAAACGUCUUUGAAGUCCCGAUUCGCCGUUAAGCAUGGUGCACUAAACUAUCAAGUAGUCAUCAUAUUGAGCUAGCCAAACGUUCAUAAAGUCUGCAUCUACUCAUGCAAUAGGUCUGUCACCUAGCGGUGCAUCAAAGACAUAAUUCUUCUAUGCAGCAAUGAGGAUAAUCCUCAGAUCACAGAUCCAAUCCACAUCAUUGCUACUAACAUUUUUCAACAUAAUUUUUCUCUAGGAACACAAUAAACUGGGAGCAACAUCACGAGCUAUUGAUCUACAACAUAGAUAUGCUAAUACUACCAGGACUAAGUUCAUGAUAAAUUAAAGUUCAAUUAAUCAUAUUACUUAAGAACUCCCACUUAGAUAGACAUCCCUCUAAUCCUCUAAGUGAUCACGUGAUCCAAAUCAACUAAACCAUGUCCGAUCAUCACGUGAGAUGGAGUAGUUUCAAUGGUGAACAUCACUAUGUUGAUCAUAUCUACUAUAUGAUUCACGCUCGACCUUUCGGUCUCCGUGUUCCGAGGCCAUAUCUGUUAUAUGCUAGGCUCGUCAAGUUUAACCUGACUAUUCCACGUGUGCAACUGUUUUGCACCCAUUGUAUUUGAACGUAGAGCCUAUCACACCCGAUCAUCACGUGGUGUCUCAGCACGAAGAACUUUCGCAACGGUGCAUACUCAGGGAGAACACUUAUACUUUGAUAAUUUAGUGAGGGAUCAUCUUAUAAUGCUACCGUCAAUCAAAGCAAGAUAAGAUGCAUAAAAGAUAAACAUCACAUGCAAUCAAUAUAAGUGAUAUGAUAUGACCAUCAUCAUCUUGUACUUGUGAUCUCCAUCUCCGAAGUACCGUCAUGAUCACCAUCAUCACCAGCAUGACACCUUGAUCUCCAUCGUAGCAUCGUUGUCGUCUCGCCAAUCUUAUGCUUCCAUGACUAUCGCUACCGCUUAGUGAUAAAGUAAAGCAUUACAACGCGAUUGCAUUGCAUACAAUAAAGCGGCAACCAUAUGGCUCCUGCUAGUUGCCGAUAACUCGGUUACAAAACAUGAUCAUCUCAUACAAUAAAAUUUAGCAUCAUGUCUUGACCAUAUCACAUCACAACAUGCCCUGCAAAAACAAGUUAGACGUCCUCUACUUUGUUAUUGCAAGUUUUACGUGGCUGAUAUGGGCUUAGCAAGAACCGUUCUUACCUAUGCAUCAAAACCACAACGAUAGUUUGUCAAGUUGGUGCUGUUUUAACCUUUGCAAGGACCGGGCGUAGCCACACUUGGUUCAACUAAAGAUGAAGAAACUGACACCCGCCAGCCACCUGUGUGCAAAGCACGUCGGUAGAACUAGUCUCGUGUAAGCGUACGUGUAAUGUCAGUCCGGGCCGCUUCAUCCAACAAUACCGCCGAACCAAAGUGUGACAUGCUGGUAAGCAGUAUGACUUAUAUCGCCCACAACUCACUUGUGUUCUACUCAUGCAUAUUACAUCAACGCAUAAAACCUAGGCUCGAAUGCCACUGUUGGGGAACGUAGUAAUUUCAAAAAAUUUCCUACGCACACGCAAGAUCAUGGUGAUGCAUAGCAACGAGAGAGGAGAGUGUUGUCUACGUACCCUCGUAGACCGAAAGCGGAAGCGUUAGCACAACGCGGUUGAUGUAGUCGUACGUCUUCACGGCCCGACCGAUCAAGCACCGAAACUAUGGCACCUCCGAGUUCUAGCACACGUUCAGCUCAAUGACGAUCCCCGGACUCCGAUCCAGCAGAAUGUCAGGGAAGAGUUCUGUCAGCACGACGGCGUGGUGACGAUCUUGAUGUUCUACCAUCGUAGGGCUUUGCCUAAGCACCGCUACAAUAUUAUCGAGGAUUAUGGUGGAAGGGGCACCGCACACGGCUAAGAGAUCAAUGAUCAAUUGUUGUGUCUUUGGGGUGCCCCCUGCACCCGUAUAUAAAGGAGCAAGGGAGGAGGAGGCCGGCCCUAGGAGGGGGCGUGCCAAGUGUGGAGUCCUACUAGGACUCCCUAGUCCUAGUAGGAUUCCACCUCCCAUAUGGAAUAGGAAAAGAGGAAGGGAAAAGGAGAAGGAAGGGGGCGCCCCCCUUCCCUAGUCCAAUUCGGACCAGACCAAGGGGAGGGGUGCGGCCACCCUUGAGCCCCUUUUCCUUCUUUCCCGUAUGGCCCAAUAAGGCCCAAUACGUAUUCCCGUAACUCUCCGAUACUCCAAAAAAUACCCGAAUCACUCGGAACUUUUCCGAUGUCCGAAUAUAGUCGUCCAAUAUAUCGAUCUUUACGUCUCGACCAUUUCGAGACUCCUCGUCAUGUCCCCGAUCUCAUCCGGGACUCCGAACUCCUUCGGUACAUCAAAACUCAUAAACUCAUACUAUAACUGUCAUCGAAACCUUAAGCGUGCGGACACUACGGGUUCGAGAACAAUGUAGACAUGACCGAGACACGUCUCCGGUCAAUAACCAAUAGCGGAACCUGGAUGUUCAUAUUAGCUCCCACAUAUUCUACGAAGAUCUUUAUCGGUCAGACCGCAUAACAACAUACGUUGUUCCCUUUGUCAUCGGUAUGUUACUUGUCCGAGAUUCGAUCUUCGGUAUCUCAAUACCUAGUUCAAUCUCGUUACCGGCAAUUAUCUUUACUCGUUCUGUAAUACAUCAUCCUGCAACUAACUCAUUGAUUGCAAUGCUUGCAAGGCUUAAGUGAUGUGCAUUACCGAGAGGGUCCAGAGAUACCUCUCCAACAAUCAGAGUGACAAAUCCUAAUCUCGAAAUACGCCAACCCAACAAGUACCUUUGGAGACACCUAUAGAGCACCUUUAUAAUCACCCAGUUAUGUUGUGACGUUUGGUAGCACACAAAGUGUUCCUCCGGUAAACGGGAGUUGCAUAUCUCAUAGUCAUAGGAACAUGUAUAAGUCAUGAAGAAAGCAAUAGCAACAAACUAAACGAUCAAGUGCUAAGCUAACGGAAUGGGUCAAGUCAAUCACAUCAUUCUCCUAAUGAUGUGAUCACGUUAAUCAAAUGACAACUCAUGUCUAUGGCUAGGAAACUUAACCAUCUUUGAUUCAACGAGCUAGUCAAGUAGAGGCAUACUAGUGACAUACUGUUUGUCUAUGUAUUCACACAUGUAUUAUGUUUCCGGUUAAUACAAUUCUAGCAUGAAUAAUAAACAUUUAUCAUGAUAUAAGGAAAUAAAUAAUAACUUCAUUAUUGCCUCUAGGGCAUAUUUCCUUCAAUACUCCCCACAGCCGGGACCCAGAUCCUGCCGUAAAGACAGGGGCUGAUACGGGGGUGACGCCGGAUUAUCCUUCAGCCGAGGAUUCAGAUGAUGUAUCCGUCACCAACUCGGAAGUGGAGUGCGCCAUGAAUCAUCGGCGCCGAAGGGCCAUUUUACGAGACCCCAACUUCUUAGAAGAGGCAUUUAAUGCCUUCAACUCGGCUGAUGCAUAUAUCCGAGCUGCUCGAGAUGGGCUUAACAGAGCCACGAAUCAACAUUUAAAAGAUGUGCAAGUAAGUUUAAUUUGUCCAAAUAUGAUAACCAUAUGCCAGUAGCCCCCGAGACUUGAAGUUGUUGGUACAAAUGAUUUAAGGAUCGUUGUAUAACCAGGUUCUUACGGAGAAGAACGACCUCCUAGCCCAAGAGCUAGAAAAGUGUCGGACACAGCUAACUGUUGUUACCGCCGAACUGGAAAAGUCCAAGAAGGCAUCCUCUGGUAAUAUUUCCCUCCAUCGAGAAAAAAUAAUUAUAUACCAGUUGUGCUAAUACUGUUGCUUAUCUCCUAACAGGAUCGUCAGAUCAACUGGAGAAGAAAUUGAAAGCCGCUCAAGCGGGUGAGAAAGAGGCGAAAAGACUACACGCCGCAGGCGAGCGUGUUCUGACCCGAGUCAGAGAUAAGAAAAACAAGCUACAGGAUGCCCAGACCCGGCUGGGCGAAGAACUGAAAGAUGUACGGGCCUAACUGGCUGAUUCCGUGAAGGAAAAUAAGAGGCUGCGAGGCGGCAUAUUCAGUAUGUGGUCGAACUUACCUUCGAAUAAUUCGGAGAUAAAAGGGACUGACAGAGUUAUGUCUGCAGGUAUACUGACCGGUCGUCCCGAAGAGGAGAUGUCCGGAAUCUCGGGCGAUCUGCUACAAGAGCUGUCGCAUAUGCACGAGCAGGGCUGGUAGGCGAUGAGAAGUGUUGCCAAGGCCUUGUGGACAUCUGCCUCCCCUCCAGGAAAGAUGGAGGAUCUCAUAGAGCUAUUCAAGGGAGCGUGGCGGCGCUUUCGAUUGUGGAAGAUAUCGGCCUGCCGGGAAGGUGCACGAGAAGCCUGGGCCAUGGUGAAAACACGGUACACCAAGCUUGAUCCGAAUCGUAUGGCUCGGGUUGGACCUCUAGGGUCAGAUGGGAAAGAAGUUCCCGUUAAUUUGGUAUAUGACCAAGUAAAAGUAGCCACCAAGUAUUCCCAGCAGGAUUGUAAGUUAGACAGCCUGCUGGACGGUAUAGAUGAGGAAAUUUUUUAGUCCAAGUGACUAUGUACUUUCCUUCUAGCCGAAUUGUAAAACGAUUGUCAUGGCAAACCUUUUCGCUUCGACCUCUGGACCCGAAGGUUCAGAGUGUUUCCAUACACCUGAGCGGUAAAAUAGACGAGGUAUGCGUGGAAACCAGGCGUAGGUGUCAUAGUUGCUUGAACAGACGAGUUGUAUCCGGCUAGUUAUGUUAUAUUACAUUAUGAUUGUAAGAAACAUCUUCCAGAGAGAAUAGUUCCAUUGAGGGUUCCUUUCCCUGGGUGUGCAUGCGUAAAAAUGCAUGUCCGAACUGUGAUUGGAACAAUCGUAGUAUAAGUAACAUCUGGGGGUUCACAAUGGGGUGAAUGCAAAAACUUCUUUAAUCCACCGACGGAAUAUUCCUUUAAGAACGCUAGCUUUCGGCUUCACCUAGUCUGAGGUACACAUCUGGAUGACCCGGCAGUAACAAUCGCAGAGGUGCUCCCUUUAUGACUAGCCGAACUAACGGGAACGUAGGGCAUAAGCACAGGAGCCAGGCAACCCAGCUUGGCCAAAACUUAAGUCAUAUGAUGCAUAUAAUGGUGAAGAAAAGGUAUAUAUGGGGAAAAUGCGCAUAUGUGAUGAGCUUGAUGCCCGAAAAAUAACAUUAACAAGCUUAUGUCAAAGAAGCCCCCAGGUAUAAUGGACGUACAUAUUUGAGUAUGUGUAUGUCACAGGUGCACGGUUGAGCCGCGCGAAAAGCUUGUAAGGCUAAAAAAGGGAAAAGCGAAAAGAGAGGAAAAAGCAAUGGGAACAAUAGGGAGAAGGAUACGAAUAAAGAGUUUGGCGCUAGGCAUAUAAUCUUUAGAGUCUGGCCGCAUUCCAAGGGUUCGGCUCUAGGCGAUUGUCUGACGCAUCACGCAGGCGGUACGCUCCUCCAGUGAGAACUUCGUCAAUGAUGAAGGGACCCUCCCAUUUGGGCAGGAGUUUGUCCUUUUUCUUCUUCGGCAAGUGUAGAACGAGUUCGCCAACAUUAUAAGUCUUGGCCCGUACUUCUCUGCUUUGAUAUCUGCGGGCCUGUUGUUGAUAAAAUGCAGAACGGGCUUUUGCAACGUCGCGCUCCUCCUCCGGGACGUCUAGGCUGUCCUGCCGAUCGAGCUCGUCCUCUCCCUCUCUUCGUACAUGUGCACUCGAGGUGAGUCAUGAAUAAUGUCGCAGGGUAGCACAACCUCUGCGCCGUACACCAUGAAGAAAGGAGUGUAUCUGGUAGUGCGAUUGGGUGUGGUCCGCAGCCCUCAGAGUACGGAGUCGAGAUCCUCAACCCAGUGCUUGUCUGAUUCCUUCAAAGACCGCACCAGCCUAGGUUUGAUGCCGCUCAUAAUAAGAUCAUUGGCCUGUUUGACAUGACCGUUUGUUUGCGGGUGAUAGACGGAGGCGUAAUCGAGCUUAAUGCCCAGAUUGGCGCACCAAUUUUUUUACCUCAUCGCCUGUGAAGUUGGAGCCGUUAUCGGUGAUGAUGCUGUGUGGAACACCAUAACGAUGUACAACGCCGGAUAUAAAGUCUAUCACUCGUCCGGCUUCGGCCAAUUUAACUGGUUUGGCCUCUAUCCACUUAGUGAAUUUAUCCACCAUGACCAGCAGAUAUUUUUCCUUAUGGCUUCCUCCUUUAAGGGGUCCGACCAUAUCAAGCCCCCAGACCGCAAAAGGCCAAGUGAUGGGGAUUGUUUGCAGAGCAGUGGGUGGCAUAUGGCUCUGGUUGGCGAAAAGGUGGCAUCCGACGCAAUGUUGGACAAGGUCAUGUGCGUCUGAUCGGGCCGUCGGCCAAUAAAACCCUAUACGGAAGGCCUUGCUAACAAGGGCCUGAGCUGCAGCGUGGUGCCCGCCGAGACCGGCAUGAAUUUCAGCCAAGAGAUGUCGCCCCUCUUCCUCGGAGAUACAUCUUUGAAGGACUUCGAUAGUGCUUUUCUUGUAGAGCUCUCCGUCAUGAACCUUGUAGGCCUUCGAACGCCGGACAAGGCGGCGGGCCUCAUUCCAAUCCUCAAGGAGUUCUUUCCUAUUAAGGUAGGACAAGAAGGGUUCAGUCCGUGGGGAAUGACUGGCAUAAUGAGAUGGGCGGACGGUGUUAUUUCGGUGGCUGAGCCCCCGAUGAUAUCGGUGUGUUCAGAAUCUGGGGUUGUGUUCGAAUCCGGGCUGGUGUUGCCGCUCUCCCCUUGCCACACCACGGACAGCUUAAAAAGCCUUUCCAAAAAGAUGUUAGGUGGGACGGGGUCACGCUUAGCGCCGAUGCGAGCAAGGACGUCCGCCACUUGAUUACUUUCUCGAGCCACGUGAUGAAACUCGAGCCCCUCGAACCGAGCCAACAUUUUCAGGACGGCGUUGUGAUAAGCUGCCAUGUUUGGAUCUUUGGCAUCGAAAUCUCCAUUUAUUUGAGGUAUUGCGAGGUUUGAGUCCCCGCACACUUCCAGGCGUUGUAUGCCCAUGGAGACGGCCAUCCGAAGACCAUGCAAUAAGGCCUCGUAUUCAUCUGCAUUAUUGGAGUCUGUGUAUAAUAUUUGGAGUAUAUAAUGGACUACGUCUCCAGUGGGGGACGUUAAAACGAUGCCUGCUCCUAAUCCUGCCAGCAUUUUGGAGCCAUCGAAAUACAUGACCCAGUUGGAAUAUGUGUCGUACUCUUUAGGGAGUUCGGCCUCUGUCAAUUCGGCGACGAACUCCGCCAGUACUUGGGAUUUAAUGGCUCAACGCGGUUUGUAUGUUAUGUCGAAUGGAAGGAGCUCAAUGGCCCAUUUGGCGAUCCGUCCCGUAGCAUCGCGGCUGUUUAUUAUAUCAUUGAGUGGUACUUCGGAAGCCACCAUGGUCGAACACUCUUGGAAGUAGUGACGCAGCUUCCAGGAUGCCAUGAAGACCACGUAUGCUAUCUUUUGAUAAUUGGGGUACCGGCAUUUGCAUGGUGUGAGAACAGUGGAUACGUAAUAUACCGGCUUCUGAAGCAGGAACUUGUGUCUGCCCUGCUCUCGCUCAACGACGAGCACGGCGCUCACCAUCUGGUGUGUUGCUGAUAUGUAUAAUAGCAUGGGUUCGCCGGCGUUUGGCGCGGCCAGGAUUGGGUUGCUCGCUAGAAGGGCUUUUAUUUCUUCCAGUCCGGCCGUUGCCGCAUCCGUCCACUCGAAGUGAUCGGUGCAAAGGAGUAGGCGAUACAGUGGCAAUGCCUUUUCUCCCAAUCUGAAGAUAAAGCGGCUUAAAGCUGCCAUGCAUCCGGCGAGUUUUUGGACCUGUUUAAGGUCCGUUGGUGUAGCCAACUGUGACAAAGCUCGGAUUUUGGCUGGAUUUGCUUCGACUCCUCUACUGGAAACAAUGAAGCCCAGUAGUAUUCCAGCAGGAACGCCGAAAACACACUUUUCCGGACUGAGCUUAAUGUCAUAUGCACAGAGGUUAUGAAUGUGAGACGUAAAUCGUCUAUUAGUGACUCGAUGUGCCUGGUUUUGAUGACGAUGUCAUCCACAUAUGCUUCUACUGUCUUGCCGAUCUGCUUUUCUAGGCAUGUUUGAAUCAUGAGUUGGUAAGUGGCGCCAGCAUUUUUGAGCCCGAAAGGCAUAGUGUUGAAACAGAAAGGCCAAUAUGGGGUAAUGAAUGCCGUUGCGGCUUGAUCGGACUCCUACAUCUUGAUUUGAUGGUAUCUAGAGUACGCGUCGAGGAAAGACAGUGAGUCGUGUCCUGCGGUUGCGUCAAUAAUCUGAUCGACGUGAGGGAGGGGGAAGGUAUCCUUAGGGCAAGCCUUGUUGAGGUCUUUGAAAUCGACGCAUAGGCGCCAGGAUUUAUCCUUCUUUGGUACCAUCACCAGGUUAGUUAGCCAGUCCGGGUACUUUAUUUCUCUUAUGAAUCCGGCUUAGAGUAACUUGGCUAGCUCCUCUCCCAUAGCUUGUCAUUUGGGUUCGGAAAAACGCCGCAGUGUUUGUUUGACCGGUUUAUAUCCCUUUAAGAUAUUGAGGCUGUGUUCGGCCAACCUACGUGGGAUUCUUGGCAUGUCAGAAGGGUGCCAGGCGAAUAUGUCCCAGUUAUCACGCAGGAACUCUCGUAGCGCGGCAUCGACCGUUGGGUCGAGUUGUGCCCCGAUGGAUGCUGUCUUGUUGGGGUCAGUUGGAUGGACUUGGAAUUUGACUAUUUCUUCUACUGGUUUGAAAGAGGUGGAUUUGGGUCGUUUGUCCAGAAUUACGUCAUCCCUAUCCACAGUGGAGUGCAGCGCGGUCAGCUCUUCGGCCGCGAGGGCUUCAGACAAUGCCUCGAGGGCCAAGGAUGCGGUUUUACUUUCGGCGCGCAGCUCUAUGUCCGGAUCACUGGCAAGAGUGAUGGUGCCGUUGGGCCCGGGCAUCUUGAGCUUCAUGUACCCGUAAUGAGGUAUGGCAUGGAAAUAUGCGUCUCGCCCCAGCAAGGCGUGAUAUCCGCUGUUGAAGGGGGCCACUUGGAAGGUUAUUUCUUCAGACCGAUAAUUCUCCGGCGUGCCGAAGACCACGUCAAGUGUGAUUUUUCCCGCACACCGCGCCUCUUGACUGGGAAUGAUUCCUCAGAAGGUCAAUGUGGCUCCUAUCUAUUUCCAUUUUGUGGAGUGUAUCCUCAUAGAUGAGGUUUAGUCCGCUGCCGCCGUCCAUGAGAACCUUGGUGAGCCGAAAGCCGUCCACAAUUGGACUGAGGACCAAGGCGCUGGUGCUCGGGUUGUCCUGUAUUCUGGUUCGUCACCGGCAUUAAAAGUUAUAGCCGUGUCGUUCGAAUGGUUUAUUGUUGCGAUUUGGCAGACUUCGGCGAGUUCGCGGAGUGCCCUUUUGUGCUUGUUGUUUGAAGCAAAUGUCUCGAAGACCGUCAAUACUUUGAGGUCGUCGUCCUCUGGGGGGUGUUGUUCUGGGGUAUUCUUGGUGAGGAUAUCCUUGCCGCUCUUGGCCACUUGCCGGAGUAUCCAACAUGCUCUAAGGCUGUGGGUUGGUAUGUUAUCUGGUGUUGUGUGUAUGUUGCAUGGCCCAUCGAGCCAUCCUUCCAGAAUGGUUCCGCACCCCGUAAUGGGAUUAUAUUUCUUUACUAGGACCGGGCGUGUCACGAGGGUGCGCCCUUUUCGCCUGAACGAGGGGUUGAGUGGGGACCGAUGGUUCCAAGUGGGCUGCCUCAGUUUUCCAAGCGCUUUGUGCUGUACUUCUGUACGAUAGUUGCCAAGUCAGUGAAUUGUAAUAUGCAACGCGGUUGAUGGCGUUGAGGAUUCCUUCGUCCAUGCAAUUGUUGCGGAAUGCUGAGAUCGCGUCUUCGUCAGGGCAAUCUUUAAUCUUGUUUUUGACAAGGAGGAACCUGGCCCAGAAGUGGUGGACCGUUUCCUGAGACUGAUGUUGUAUGCUCAUGACAGCGCUCAUAUCUGGGUGGGUGGGUGGAUAUAAAUCCGAACCCUGACCCAAUUUUGGAUCCGGAGUUUGAAGAUCUUCCAGACUUGACAGUUUGGGCUCCGGGAUAUCGACUGAUUUUUUAGGCUUGUCGUCUGACUCUAUGUUCGGAGGACAAGGCAUGUCUUUCUACCGGAGAGUGUCCGGCUCUUCGAGAUUGGCGAUCCGAACAUAGUCCGUCCUCAAUAUAGAGGAGGAGUUGUCAUGCUCCUCGACUACCGCUAUCUGGUGGGUGAUCGGCGGAGUUUUAAUUUCUCGCUGGUCACGUUUAAGCCCAAUUCGAUUGUAGUCUAUAGCGACCCCCAAGGCGGCAAUGUGAUCUCAGAGUUCAUUUAAAGAUGAUAACUCCAUCGGAUACAUCCGUGUGGAGUAUUCUGGAUCAACGCGGAGGCAAUUUUCGAUGACUCGAGAGGUCAUCGUCGGCUUAAGGGCCGAACUGGCGGUCUUGACGAAGCCGCCCAGCCGGAGGGUUUGGCCCGGGGCCAGGGCUCCUCCGGAGGUGAUAUUUUCCUUGACAACAAGGCGAGCCAUCAACCCUUUUGACGACGGCACAGUCGAACUCUCAAUGAAAGCACCAAUGUUGGUGUCAAAACCGGAGGACCUCGGGUAGGGGGUCCCGAACUAUGCGUCUAAGGUCGAUGGUAAUAGGAGACAGGGGACAUAAUGUUUACCCAGGUUCGGGCCCUCUCUAUGGAGGUAAUACCCUACUUCCUGCUUGAUUGAUCUUGAUGAAUAUGAGUAUUACAAGAGUUGAUCUACCACGAGAUCGUAAUGGCUAAAACCCUAGAAGUCUAGCCUGUAUGACUAUGAUUAUGAUGAUUGUUAUCUACGGACCUAGCCCUCCGGUUUAUAUAGACACUGGAGGGAUCUAGGGUUACAGAAGGUCGGUUACAGAGAAAGGAAUCUUCAUAUUUGAUCACCAAGCUUUCCUUCCACGUCAAGGAGAGUCCCAUUCGGACAUGGGUAGAGUCUUCAGUCUUUGUAUCUUACAGUCCAUCAGUCCGGCCCAUGGCUAAUAGGCCGGACGCCCGAGGACCCCUUAGUCCAGGACUCCCUCACCCGCCGCAUGUAUGUCUUUUCUGUAUUUCACCUCAAGCUCGAACUCGAUCUCCUCGGCGGUUACACAGGGGUGGAGAAGGUUUUAUACCCGCAAGCUCCGACACGCCGCGCCGCACUCGAACACGCCCACCUGCCACAAGCCACAUCCCGCGCGCUCCGUCUUGCACGCUCAGAUCGCGCACGCACACGAUCGCUAUGGCCAUGCUGCGCGCCCGAUGCAGUCCUCUCCCCCUGAUCCCUCGCUAGCUAACCCACGCUGCCACGCGCACACACGCGCUGACUGGCACACACAUGCACACCUACACUCGAGCACGCACGCGCACACCCGAGCCCGCCACAGGCCGGACCUGAUGCGACCAGCGCAUGCACACACACGCGCACGCUCUCAGCCCCGUCGUGGCUUAUUUCCUACAUCGUAUAUGCAGCUCGCACGUGCCCUCUUUCUUCUGCUUGAAACCGAUUGGAUGUAUGGCGUAUUAAUCUCAAUCAUUGGAAGUAGGAGAUGACACAACCCUCCUCUAUACUUCCUUCGAUAACCUCAUAGUAGAUUGUAAUAUUUUAAAUGUAUAACUCGUCAACACCAAGGAGGCUGAAUGGCCGGGCAAGAGCCAAAUGUCAAGUUUGUGCUUGCUGAUGUUGAAAGAGGAGAUAGGUUGGGAAAUGAAUGUGCUAAUACCAUAAAUGCUAGGAUUUCGAAUAAGGGGUCUUUGAACCUUGCUGCAAUCCGUAGACGCACUAGUAGUGAAACCUUUCUCAAGCAGAUGGAUAGAUGCUUGGCAAGUUAAUUUAACUUAUAUGGAGAUGGCAGAGAUGUGUGGGUGUUUGCCAAUUGUUUUAUAUAAAGGAUCAGUGUCGGUGUCAAAACCGGCGGAUCUCGGGUAGGGGGUCCCGAACUGUGCGUCUAGGCCGGAUGGUAAUAGGAGGCAGGGGACACGAAGUUUUACCCAGGUUCGGGCCCUCUCGAUGGAGGUAAAACCCUACGUCCUGCUUGAUUAAUAUUGAUGAUAUGGGUAUUACAAGAGUUGAUCUACCACGAGAUCAGAGAGGCUAAACCCUAUAAGCUAGCCUAUGGUAUGAUUGUUGAUGUGUAUGUUGUCCUACGGACUAAAACCCUCCGGUUUAUGUAGACUCUAGAGAGGGUUAGGAUUACAUAGAGUCGGUUACAAUGGUAGGAGAUCUGAACAUCUGUAUCGCCAAGCUUGCCUUCCACGCCAAGGAAAGUCCCUUCCGGACAUGGGACGGAGUCUUCAAUCUUGUAUCUUCAUAGUCCAGGAGUCUGGCUUGAAGGUAUAGUUCGGCUAUCCGAACACCCCCUAAUCCAGGACUCCCUCAGUAGCCCCUGAACCAGGCUUCAAUGACGACGAGUCCGGCGCGCAGAUUGUCUUCGGCAUUGCAAGGCGGGUUCCUCCUCCAAGUACUUCAUAGAAGAUUUUGAACACAAAGAUAGUGUCCGGCUCUGCAAAAUAAGUUUCCACAUAUUGCCAUAGAGAGAAUAAUAAUAUUAACACAAAUCUAAUCUGCUGACGUAUUCCAUGGUGCGACACGCCACGGCCAAGCCUUUAUCCGAGUCGUUUAAUUAUCCCACCUCAGCGCAUUGUGCGAGGCAGUUUCCUUGGCACGUCUUGUUGAAGCAGAGAUCGUGUCUCCUCAUUUCGGGAUUCUCAUCAAUACGGGCGUGGGUAACCCAACCGCGCCUUUGAUUACGGCGCUUGGAGAUAAGAAAGUUUUACUAGGCUGGUGGGGACAUGUAGUCGCGUCCACCCAUAUAAGGGGAUAAGGAUCCAUCUUUUCACCCACGCCUUCUUCCUCCUUCGCCUAUCCAUUCUUGCGCACUCGAGCUCCAGCGCCCAAGUCCGCACUACCACCUCAACCUUCUCCAGUCAUGUCCGGAGCGGGAGGCAAGUGGAUGGUCUCCUCCAUCACGGAGGGACACAUCAAAAAGCUGAGGAAGGCCAGAUAUCUGGCCAGCGACAUCGCGCACCGGCUUCCCGAAAAGGGGCAGCUCAUCCCCACUCCUAGGCCCCAUGAGAGGGUGGUAUUCCUCCCCCAUUUCCUCCACGGACUGGGCUUCCCUCUGCAUCCAUUUGUCCGGGGGCUCAUGUUCUACUACGGCCUGGAUUUCCAUGAUCUGGCCCCGAACUUCGUCCUCAACAUCUCGGCGUUUAUCGUCGUGUGCGAGGCGUUCCUCCGCAUCCGCCCCCAUUUCGGCCUAUGGCUUAAGACUUUCAACGUCAAGCCAAAGGUGGUGCGCGGCAGCCAGGCGGAGUGCGGUGGCGCCAUAGUUGGUAAGAUGGUCAACGUCCUGUGGCUCGAGGGCUCCUUUGUGGAGACCCGGAAGGGGUGGCAAUCAGGGUGGUUUUAUGUCACUGAGCCGCGCGACGCCGAAUGGGUCGCACCCCCUGAGUUUCGAUCUGGCCCCCCUACGCGGCUCACCUCCUUGAAGGAGACAGGCCUGUCUUGGGGUAAAAAAGAGGAGCUGACCGGACUCCAAACAUGCAUCCAAACCCUGGUGGACAAGAAGCUCAAGCUUGUCAAUGUAGUCCAGGUUAUGCUCAUCCGCCUGAUCCUCCCGUGCCAACGACGGGCCUUCAACCUGUGGGAGUUCGACCCGGCGCAGCAUUAGACUCUAAACAGGCUCUUUGGCACGAUGUACGAAGAUGCCUGGAGGAUGCUUUUCAAGGGCGCCGAGGCUCCCGCAUCCGCUGCCGAGGAUCGCGGAUUCAGUACUCAGCAUCACGCUCAUGCAGUAAGCUGUUUUUGUCCUUUUACAGGGUAUCAGUUUUUCAUAGUUUGACUCUAUGCGGGAUCUGAGUUCCCAUAUCUUUGAUAGGAUUGGGUGUUGACGUUCGGACAGAUCAACUAUCCGGCUCCUCUGCCUGAAGGCCCAGCGGACGCUCGCUUGGCGAAGCUGCUGGUUUCGGCGCCCUAUGUGGUGCCGGAGAAGAAGGCCACGAAAAGGGCCACGGGGACUCAAAAGAGUGCCCGGCGCCAGGAGGUGUCAGAUUCGUCAUCCGACGGUCCCGAAGCACCUUCCUCUCGUGAAGACAAGGAGGAAGAAGAAGAGACCUCUCCCCCUCCAGCGGGAGGAGAGAAGAAAAGGAAGGCCGCCCUCUUUGAGGAGGCCUGAGGGUCCAAGAAGGGGAAAACCCUUCCUCCGGGCUGCUCCACCGACGCCGCCGACGACGAAGAGGAGUGGCAGCCCAGGGCCAAGCCCCUGGCGAAAUCGUAAGUGUCCGGAUACCGGAGUAAUUCAUAGUAUUCAUUUUUUUUCACAGCUUUCCCUUAUGUCGAAUAUGUUUAUGCAGCCCACCCAAAGACCGGCUCGACACAUCGUCGAGCGGCUCACUGGACCCGUCGGAUGUGAACUCGCUUCCGACGGCUUCAUCCCCCCGCCCUACGGACGACACCGAAGUGUUGUCCCAACAGGUUCCAAGCCGGGAGGAGGUGGUCCUGGAGGCGCCGCAAGGCGACCUCCCGGACUCCAGGAGUAAAGGGGAUGAAACCACCCAGGGCUCCAAGUCCAGCCCAAGGCCGGACGCCGCUCCGGAACCCUCAAAGGUUCCAGAGUCCGGCGGGCGACCUCCUUCCAAGAGGAACAAGCCCACCGUGCCGGUGUGUCAGAACCCCGACUCGAUGUCACAUCGAUCUAGCCGGUAACACCUCAUAUCACUUUGCGGCCUCACGCACGGUAUCCCCACGGGUGUCGCCUUACCUUUGCCCGGGACCGUUUGCGCCUUUUGGCUCACGUAUAUGAUAGUGUCGCUAGCAUCCAUAUGAUAAAGAGCCCGGGCUGACAUGACUAGUCGUAAACCCAAAGUGGCACAGACUUACAGGGACAGGCAUCCAUGACCCAGCUUCGAACGUGUCGGUCAUCAGCAAGUGGGUCCGGGCUGUAGCACUGGGCUAGCAGGACUCCGGUAAACCGGGCUGUAGCGGGCUAACAGGACUCCGGUACUCAAAGCGUGACAUUUCCCCGAAGGGACAGACACAGGAACGAAGAAGGACACAUGCCGGCCAGCCUAAGUGUUCCAGAGCAGUAGCAAGCUACCAGGGCUCAGCGGUAACACUAGGAGACAUUUCCCGGUAAGAGAGGCUACUAAAGAUAAACAACUAGAUAGUCAGAUCCCACACAUACCAAGCAUUUCAAUCAUACACACAAUAUGCUCGAUAUGUGCAAAUACAACGAAGCAUCACAACAUGACUCUACGACACAAGUACUUUAUUUAAGGCUCAGGGAGCCAUACAUAGCAUACACAAAGAUACGGGUCACACGACCCAGCAUUCAAGUCAUACAGUUAUACAAACCAGCAGCGGAAGUACAUUGUCUGAGUACAGACAACUAGUAAAAUAAAAGAGGCUUGGAAAGCCUAGCUAUACUACGUGGUCCUUCACAAGCUCAGGGUCACCACCUGGGUCUUUAGCCUACUCGUUGAUGUCAACGUCUACAUAGAACCCAUCAGAAGGGGUUGCAGCGUCUUCUGUAAAAUGUAGAUUAUAGCAACAUGAGUACAAAGGUACUCAGCAAGACUUACAUCAGAUCCUAUAUACAUGCAUAUUAUCAAGAAGGGUUGGUGGAGUUAUUGCAGCAAGCCAGCUUUGACUCUUGGCUAGACUAUCCUACGAUACUCCAACUUGAAAUGGUUUUGCGCACACGAGUCCACUACUCACCACUUCAAUACACUACCGAGGAUCCACCUCCGUCUUCCUACGGAAGAGCCAUCCUCGGCACUCACACUUAUCUUGAGGCUUUUAACAGUUUCCAUUUACAUUGUCUAUGAACUGUAUAGGCAACCAAGUAGUCCUUUACCGCGGACGCGGCUAUUCGAAUAGAUCAUGUUAACCCUGCAGGGGUGUACUUCUUCAUACAUGUUUCCACCACUUAGCGUCUGCACACGACAUGUGCUCGGCAGACUUCAAGCGAAAGCCGACGUGGGUGUAGACCACGACCUACCUAAACACUUAAGCCUCUAGUCCAGGUUUAUCGCCUAUUCAGGUUCCAUCCGCAGGGAGUCCGGCCGAGGUUUCCCAUACGGCCCCGAACGAUGUGAACAGGGUUCCCGAGAUACCUAACGGGUAUUCGGUACACCGUGCCACGUACCUACCGCAUCACAGCCCACCCCUACGGUCAGCGCUGUCCACGGCCUCCAGUAGGCUACAAACACCAGAAACUACUUGCAACUCCUGGACAGAGAGCUAGGGUGAAUAAGAAGUCGAGCGGGGUCAUAUUUCAGGGCCCAAUGCAUGGUAGUAGCUAUAUCUUAAAUCACAUAUACAGAUCUCAGUGCUUAAGGCCGGCUUCAAUGAAACAACCCACCAUGUACUCCUACAUGGCCUCUCAUCGAUACCUUUACCAAAUCGUGUUCACCACACCACUCCCAUUACCGACGUAAUCAUUUCACUCUAGCCCAUCACCCAGAUGAACCAGACCUGACACGACUCUAAGCAUAGCAGGCAUAGCAAGGUAGGAACAACACAUACAUAUGGCUCAAUCAACUCCUACACAUGCUAGUGGGUUUCAUCUAGUUACUGUGGCAAUGACAGGUCAUGCAGAGGAAAUGGGUUCAACUACCGUAGCACACAGCAGUUUGAAUCGCGUUGUCUUAAUGCAGUAAAAGAGAGCAGGAGCGAGAACAUGGGAUUGUAUCGAUAUGAUCAAAUGGUUGGUUGCUUGCCUGAUGGUUCGAUGCACUGAUAUGGUUCUUCGUUAGGGUAAUCACGGUACUCCUCGGAGGCAGAACCUGUCGCAAAGGACACCGAUACACAACCAUCACCAAACAAUGUGCAACAAUAUGAUGCAUGCAUGAAACAUGGCAAUAUGAGUGUGUUGGGCUAAUGCAACUAAAACCAGAAGGGUUUGAACAAAUUUGAAUCAAAGAUUCAAAUUUCAAACUCAAACAUGGCCUUUUAAAGUGCUUUUCCUUGUUCUGCUUAAAACAUCAAUUUAACUUGUUUGAUCAUGCAUGAAAAUAGUACAGAUGGAUAGAUUGGAUUUUUCUGAUCAUUUUUCAUAUAUAAUUUGUCCAAUUUGGAGUUACAGAAUAAAAGUUAUGAAUUUUUUAAGUUUAAAUAAUAUUCUGGAAUUUCCUGAUUAAAUUUAAAUCCAGAAAUAUAAUUAUUGCGCCAGCAUGAUGUCAGCAUGACGUCAGUGGUCAACUGCGGCUGGCUGAGGUCAAACCUGACGUGUGGGGCCCACACGUCAGUGACAGGGGGGUUAAACAGGGUUAAUUUAAUCCUAAUUACUAAUUAGUGGCGCUGGGGCCCACUGUCAGUGUCAGGGGGGGUAGUUAGUUUAACUGAUUCGGUUAGUGCUAAUCCUAUUUAGCUACAGGGCUGGGCCCACCUGUCAGGGACACAGGAGGGUUCCUGCCGUGGUCAAGGUGGGUCAAACCCACCGGCGACAUGACGCCGGCGAGGCCCGAGACGGCGGCGCAAUGCGGGAUCGCGCUACAGGGCACGGGCGAGGUCGUGCUUGGGCUCGUUGGAGAGCCCUUGCUCCCGCGCGUCGAACGGUGGUGGUGGCCGUGCCUGGGGUGGUCUGUACCGUCGACGGCGAGCUCGUGAGCGGCGGCCGGAGUUCGGGUGCGGUCGGAAUCGGCGUUGCAGGGCGUUUGGAGAGGCGUUGGUGCGUGCUGCGUGCUCCUAGUGAGGUGUGGAGCACGAUGGUGUGCUCGGUUGGGCGCUACGGUGACCGUGGCCACGACGGCGACAUCGCCGGCGGCGUCGAGCUUCGGAGCUCAAGGGGGCGGCAGCUACAGAAGGCUAGGGACGACGGGGCAAGGGGGAAUCGAAUCAGUGGCUCACCGCGGAGCUGUAGGGAUGGUUAGCGGGCUCGGGGACGGCCGGAGUGCAGCGAAUCGACGGCGAUGAUCUUCGGUGGCCGAGGAGGGGAACGGCGACGUAGGCGGCGAUGUAGGGCUUCCGGAGACCCGUGGAGCGGUGGGGAGGAAGAGGGGGUCGAGGCGGAGCUUCUGGGCUAGUCGGGGGAGCGAGGGGUGGCCGGUGACGGCUACUAUGGCGAACGGCGGCGAUGGUGGUGUUCGGCCGUGAGAGAGAGAAAGGGAGCAGCACGGGAGAGAGGGGGGAUAAGGCCAGGGGAUCGGGGCGGCACCGAGAAGAAGCGUCGCGGCGUCGCGCUGGCGGGGAGGCAGGCAGACGAGCUGGUGGCGUGGCGCUCCGGCCGUGCGCGCGCGCCGGCCACACGCCUGGCCGACUGGCGCCAGGAGGACGACGGCGGUGGUGGGCUGGGCUGGCUUGCUGGGCCGGCCACCUGGCUGGGCCGCACAGGGAGGAGCCCAGGUAAGCUCCUCCUGUCAUUUAUUUUUCUGUUUUCUAAUUUCUGACAUUUGUUUUGAUUUAAAUAAUAUAUUAAAUCAUUUAUUUAACUUAUGCCAAUUUUUGCAGGAGCUAGAUAUAUUAUUCCAGAGCUCCUUUAUAAUUGGCAUAAUAUUUGGACAUAUAUUAAUAUAUAUAAUUAAUAUAUUUCCAAUGCAAAUAUUUAUGCAUUAAUUCCAAAUGCCCAAAAUAAAUACCUAUGAGCUCUUAAAAAUAUUGGUUUAAUUUUUAUCUCUGUCCAAUAUUUUCAGAGAGCAACAUGAGCAUUUUCUUGGACCCUUUUGGAGAAAUUUUUAUUUGGGUCAUUUUCAAAAUGAUUCUGAGGGUUUCACAGAUCCCCAUUUCAAGUUUCUGAUGAAAGAGUAAACAUGAUGCAACACUCUAAUGCAUGACUAGCUAGGGUGUGACAACUCACCCCCACUCAAAAGAAUCUCGUCCCAAGAUUUGGGUUCCUCCGGGAAGAAGGCGGGAUACUCAAGUCGAAGACGAUCCUCCCUUUCCCAGGUUGCUUCAUCCUCGGAAUGGUGCGACCAUUGAACCUUGAGAAACUUGAUAUUAUGACGUCGGGUGGUACGUUCGGCCUGAUCGAGGAUACGCACGGGGUACUCUCGAUAUGUAAGAUUAUCUUGGAGAUCAAGCGUUUCGUGGUCCACUUCACGGAUAGGAUCCGAGAAGCAACGCCUGAGUUGAGAAACGUGGAAGACAUCCUGGACUCUGGAGAGGUGCGGAGGUAGUUCCAACUGGUAGGCAACUUCUCCUCGUUUGGCGAGAAUGCGAAAAGGUCCAAUGUAACGAGGAGCCAAUUUGCCUUUGAUACCGAAACGAUGGGUUCCCUUCAGAGGGGUGACCCGAAGAUAAGCCUUCUCGUCAACCUCGAAAGUCAUAGCCUUAUGUUUUCGGUCAUAUUGACUCUUUUGACGAGAUUGGGCUGUUUUCAACUUUUCACGAACGAUACGAACUUGUUCUUCUGCUUCCUGAAUCAUAUCCGGGCCAAAGAAUUGUCUUUCCCCGGUCUCUGACCAGUUAAGGGGUGUUCGACACCGUCGUCCAUAGAGAACUUCAAAAGGGGCUUUACCCAAGCUAGAUUGAUAGCUGUUGUUGUAAGCGAAUUCGGCAAAUGGAAGGCACUUCUCCCAGUCCAUCCCGAAUGAGAUAACAGAGGCUCGAAGCAUGUCUUCUAGAAUUUGGUUGACGCGUUCCACUUGACCACUUGACUGAGGAUGGAAAGCGGUGCUAAAGGAGAGACGAGUCCCCAUAGCAUUUUGGAAACUUUCCCAAAAUCGAGAGGUGAAAAGACUUCCUCGAUCCGAGUUAAUUUCCAGAGGAACACCAUGGAGGGACACUAUUUGGGAGAUGUAUAAGUCUGCUAGCUGACUAGCGGUUAUACUCUCACGUACAGGUAGGAAAUGGGCUACUUUGGAGAGACGAUCGACAACGACGAAGAUAGCAUUAUUCCCUCUCUUGGUCCUGGGAAAACCGGUAAUGAAAUCCAUACUAAUUUUAUCCCAUUUCCAUUCAGGAAUAGCUAAGGGUUGAAGGGUGCCAGCAGGCCGUUGGUGCUCUGCUUUUACACGACGACAGACGUCGCAAUUAGCAAUAUACUGAGCAAUUUCUCUCUUCAUCCUAGUCCACCAAAACCUCUGGCGUAGGUCCUGAUACAUCUUAGUAAUACCGGGAUGAAUAGUGAGAGGAGAUUCAUGAGCCUCCUUAAGGAUCAACUGCCGUAGAUGCUGGUUCUUGGGAACCACUAGACGGUUCUCAAAGUACACAACACCAUGAUCAUUUGUGGAGAAACAACUAGCACCUCCGCUAGCAAUGUUCUCUUUGAUUUUAGAUAUUCCCUUAUCUCGCCUUUGGGCAGCGAUGAUUUGAUCCGUAAGAGUAGGUUUUGCUACCAAGGUGGAAAGAAAACCUUGAGGUACAAUGUGAAGGUUAAGCUUCCGAAAUUCCUCAUGGAGAAGCGGUUGACUUUGUUGUAACAUCAGGUUGUUACAAUAAGAUUUACGACUUAGCGCAUCAGCCAUGACGUUGGCUUUCCCUGGGGUGUAGGUUAUUCCUAAGUCGAAGUCUGUUAUCAAUUCAACCCAACGUCUUUGCCAUCCGGUUGGGUGAAAAUGUACUUCAGACUUUGGUGAUCAGUGAAUAUUUCGCAACGAUUACCGAGGAGGUAAUGUCGCCAGGUCUUAAGUGCAUAGACUAGGGCUGCAAGCUCUAGAUCAUGAGUAGGAUAAUUAUCCUCAUGUGGGUGCAAUUGCCGUGAAGCGUAGGCAAUCACGUGUCGAUCUUGCAUGAGAAUGCAACCUAGUCCUUGUCGCGAGGCGUCGCAGUAGAUGACAAAGUCUUUGGAGAAGUCUGGCGGUACCAGUACGGGAGCAGAGGUCAGGCGUCUUUUCAGUUCCUGAAAACUGUGCUCACAUUGUGGAGUCCACUCGAACUUCUUAUCUUUCUUGAGGAGUUCGGUUAGAGGUUUAGCAACCUUGGAGAAGUUCUCGACAAAGCGGCAACAAUAGCUCGCUAAGCCUAGAAAACUCCGAACUUGCUUGACCGAUUCAGGUGGAGUCCAAUUAAGGAUGGCUUGAACUCGCUCAGGGUUAACAGCAAUACCUCUACCAGAUAUUACAUGACCCAGAUAGGUCACUUCUGACAACCAGAAUUCACAUUUAGAAAAUUUGGCAUAAAGGCGAUGCUCUCGAAGUUUCUUUAACACUAGCCUUAAAUGUUCGGCAUGUUCUUCCUCGUUCUUGGAGUAGAUGAGUAUAUCAUCGAGGUAAACCACGACGAAUUUAUCCAAAUACUCCAUGAAGAUUGAGUUCAUUAACCGAGAAAAGGUGGCUGGAGCGUUGGUUAAUCCGAAGGACAUGACGGUGUACUCGUAUUGGCCAUAACGAGUAACAAAGGCCGUUUUAGGAAUGUCCCCGUUUCUGAUUUUGAUUUGAUGGUAGCCCAACCUCAAAUCCAUCUUGGAGAAGACUGAGGAUCCAGCGAGCUGAUCAUACAGGUCGUUGAUCCUGGGAAGCGGAUAUUUGUUCUUGAUUGUGACCAAAUUGACAGGUCGGUAAUCUACAACCAUCCGGUCAGUACCAUCCUUCUUCUUGACGAAUAGGACGGGGCAAGCCCAUGGAGAUGAGCUAGGUCGGAUGAAACCCUUUUUCAAGGACUCAUCGAGUUGUUUCUUAAGCUCGGCUAGUUCUAGGGGUGCCAUCUUAUAAGGUCUUCUAGCAAUCGGAACGGUUCCGGGGAUGAGGUCUAUUACGAACUCAACAUCCCUGUCAGGUGGAACACCUGGCAAUUCCUCUGGGAAGACAUCCGGGAAGUUACGGACUACCGGAAUGUCCUCAAGGUCUGGCAAAGGGCUGGCGUUAAGAGAAUAUAACUGUCGCUUGGCUAUUCGGGUCAAGACAUUGACUAUCUUCCCCGAAGGGUGAGUGAGUUGAACAGUCCUAGAGAAGCAAUCAAUUUGGGCAUGAUGAGCUGACAUCCAGUCCAUACCCAUAAUGAUAUUAAUAUCUGAAGAUUUAAGGGCUAUCAGAGACGCGAGGAAAACAAGUCUGUCGACUUGGAUUUCAUUUCCAUGGCUUACUCUAGAAGUUUGCCAUUUGGAUCCCGGAGUUUGAAUUACCAUAGAGGUUGGCAUAUCACCGAAUGCGACGUUAUGCAGGCGAGCAUAGUUUUCAGAUAUAAAAGAAUAGGAGGCUCCUGUAUCGAAAAGAACAGAUGCCGGGUGGCAAUUAACAAGAAGCGUACCGAGAACGACGUUGGGAUCCUCUUGAGCUUCUUCGGCAGAGAUACAGUUGACAUGGCCACGUGAAGCGGUGACCGGCUUGGCGUGGAAUAUUUUUCCUGUCGGCUUGCCACGGCCAACAGCUUUAGCAGACUGGUUGGGGUUGGUCUGGGGACACUCACGCAUAUAGUGACCAGAUUCCCCACACUUGAAACAGGUCACGGAACUGGUACGUGGAGGAGCAUUAUUGGUUGGACCACCAUAGGGCUUGGCCAGUGCAGACUGUUGAACAGGGCGAGGCGCCUGGAAGGAUGGCCUCGGUGUGAACCUGGGUGGCAGGGCGGUGUUGGGUACCCACACGCGGCGCUUCUGAGGACCAGCACCGGAUGAGGAACCCAUAUCACGGCCGUGCUUGCGUGUUGCGUCAUAAUCAGUCUGACCAGUUUCAGCACUGAUGGCUUUGUUAACAAGUUUCUGAAAAGAUGUGCACUCAUGCAGACGGAGGUCACGGCGAAGCUCAGGACUAAGGCCCUUACGGAACCUUGCUUGCUUCUUGGCAUCAGUAGACACUUCCUCAGUUGCAUAUCGUGCGAGAUUACCAAACUCCCUGCUGUAAGCAUCCACAGAAAGUCGGCCUUGGGUGAAACUGCAAAAUUCUUCACGUUUACGGUCCAUGAGACCCUCCGGAAUGUGAUGUUCACGGAAAGCCUCGCUGAAUUCAGCCCAAGUAGUGACAUGGCCCGCUGGGCGCAUAGCUCCAUAAUUCUCCCACCAUAGACUGGCGGGGCCUUCAAGAUGAUAUGCAGCAAAGGUGACCUUGUCAGCCUCCGCUACCAGCGCGGAACGCAGUUUGUGAGAGAUACUGCGAAGCCAGUCAUCAGCGUCGAGAGGCUCGACGGAGUGGUGGAACGUGGGUGGAUGUAAUUUGAUAAAAUCACUGAGUGACACCACGUUAGUCCUCUGAUGGUGUGCUGUGUUCUGUUCAAUACGCUCCAACAAACGGUUGGUCUCCCGCUUGUUUCUCUCAGCUUCCAUCAUAACCUCGGCUAGGGAAGGAGGAUGAGGCAGAUUUUCAUUCCUGCCUUCACUGCCUUCGGCCUACUCUUGAGAAGCAGGGUUAGCGCGCGUGUUGACCAUCCUAGGUAAACAAGACAAUGAUUUAGUCAGGAUGAUAAAAUUCUGACAUAGGAUACAGAAUGUAAAGAAUAACUCGAAAUGCAAGAUGAUCAUCCAUAUGACAUGGUAGAUACAGAGACUGCUUCUUUAUUCCAUCGUCAUACACACCAUACAGGGUUUAGUACAAGACCAAACAAAGUACUAUUACGGUGAGAAAAGGAUUACAUCUCAUCGGAGGCAUCCCAAGCUCCUAUACAUUAUUUUUCUACACCUCCGGAAAGAGUACGAACUAGGUCAUAUCCCACGAGUCACGCGGGACGAUAGACGACACAGCUAGUGCGAACUAGUGAUACUACCACUAACUCAGACCGAUCUGUAGUAGUCCUCGUAGAAGUCACCUCCAUAGCCGGGAAGCUCAACAUGAUCAUCCGGAAACAGACGAUCUCGCGGAGCUUGUGGACCAUAGGGGCUAGGAUGAGGUCUUGGACCAACAGACGGUGGCCUGCGGGGACCGCGAGGUGGGGUGAUGCCUCCUACAUCACGCCAACCCAUCACGUCUGGCAGAGCAGAUCUCACAGGAUAGAGAUCGCGCAUAUCUGAAUAUCCAGCUUGCACCGCCGGUGCGAACCGAGUCAAAGUGGCCCAGUGGUCAGCACGGGUAUUGAAGAGCUCUAACCUUAAGGCCCGAUUUUCACGGUCCUUAUCCUCGAGCAUCUCAGCAGUGGUGUGAGUCCGUGAAUCCUCCUGAGUGGGGUCAGCAUAGAUAGCCUGGAGAUACCCUUGUGCUCCCGGAAGUGAUCCUGGCAUAUACCGGAAAUCAGAGUCCCGAAAUAGACCAGAUCUGACUCGCAUAAUGGUCAUCAUAGAGUAGGCGGCGUCCUGCACAGCCAUCUCAAUAGUAACCCCGAGUCCAUAGGAGCAGUGAAGAGGCUCGGUGGAUCCAGGAUAAGAUGGAAAUAUCCUGACAGUGCAGAGAUACUGGCUUUGAUUAAAGUCUCGGAAUUGCUCUUCGACCGUGUACUCGGGAUACCAGCGGUAUCCAGCCUCAGUCAUUACCCUGACCAACUUGGCAGUAUGGCCGGGUACAUCUAGGCAUCGAGUCAGGCGAACCACUUGAUUGAGGUCGCGAGUGGCCAGCUGAAAGCACAAUCAUAAUGCAAAGGCAUUAGAAUUUCUAGCAAAAUUUCGGCAGCAUAACAGCUGUAAAUGCUCAAGAAGGAUUUGAGACAUUUGACAAAGGAUUUCGUACACACUCAACAUCAUCAUAUCAAAGUUUUGAAUCCAUUCUAACAACAUAAUGUGGUAGUAGAACUGAACUAGGCUUGUAUCCAUCAAACUUAUAAGGUACUACUGAUUAGUAACACGUGAUCCUGAUAGAGAGUAUAGAUCCUAAUUCCUUAACCCCCGGUGGAAGAAUGGACUGACUCGGAUCAGAAUGCCAUAAGAUAAAGGAGUAAAAAGAGCCUUACGUUCCAACCCACAAACAAUUCCCCUACAUAUAACUAAAGAAUUUCUAGACUCAACAUCGACCAGUUUGGCUUGGAGAACCUACAGGCAGUCCGGCUCUGAUGCCAACGCUGUCAGAACCCCAACUCGAUGUCACAUCGAUCUAGCCGGUAACACCUCAUAUCACUUUGCGGCCUCACGCAUGGUAUCCCCACGGGUGUCGCCUUACCUUUGCCCGGGACCGUUUGCGCCUUUUGGCUCACGUAUAUGAUAGUGUCGCUAGCAUCCAUAUGAUAAAGAGCCCGGGCUGACAUGACUAGUCGUAAACCCAAAGUGGCACAGACUUACAGGGACAGGCAUCCAUGACCCAGCUUCGAACGUGUCGGUCAUCAGCAAGUGGAUCCGGGCUGUAGCACUGGGCUAGCAGGACUCCGGUAAACCGGGCUGUAGCGGGCUAACAGGACUCCGCUACUCAAAGCGUGACAUUUCCCCGAAGGGACAGACACAGGAACGAAGAAGGACACAUGCCGGCCAGCCUAAGUGUUCCAGAGCAGUAGCAAGCUACCAGGGCUCAGCGGUAACACUAGGAGACAUUUCCCGGUAAGAGAGGCUACUAAAGAUAAACAACUAGAUAGUCAGAUCCCACACAUACCAAGCAUUUCAAUCAUACACACAAUAUGCUCGAUAUGUGCAAAUACAACGAAGCAUCACAACAUGACUCUACGACACAAGUACUUUAUUUAAGGCUCAGGGAGCCAUACAUAGCAUACACAAAGAUACGGGUCACACGACCCAGCAUUCAAGUCAUACAGUUAUACAAACCAGCAGCGGAAGUACAUUGUCUGAGUACAGACAACUAGUAAAAUAAAAGAGGCUUGGAAAGCCUAGCUAUACUACGUGGUCCUUCACAAGCUCAGGGUCACCACCUGGGUCUUUAGCCUACUCGUUGAUGUCAACGUCUACAUAGAACCCAUCAGAAGGGGUUGCAGCGUCUUCUGUAAAAUGUAGAUUAUAGCAACAUGAGUACAAAGGUACUCAGCAAGACUUACAUCAGAUCCUAUAUACAUGCAUAUUAUCAAGAAGGGUUGGUGGAGUUAUUGCAGCAAGCCAGCUUUGACUCUUGGCUAGACUAUCCUACGAUACUCCAACUUGAAAUGGUUUUGCGCACACGAGUCCACUACUCACCACUUCAAUACACUACCGAGGAUCCACCUCCGUCUUCCUACAGAAGAGCCAUCCUCGGCACUCACACUUAUCUUGAGGCUUUUAACAGUUUCCAUUUACAUUGUCUAUGAACUGUAUAGGCAACCAAGUAGUCCUUUACCGCGGACGCGGCUAUUCAAAUAGAUCAUGUUAACCCUGUAGGGGUGUACUUCUUCAUACAUGUUUCCACCACUUAGCGUCUGCACACGACAUGUGCUCGGCAGACUUCAAGCGAAAGCCGACGUGGGUGUAGACCACGACCUACCUAAACACUUAAGCCUCUAGUCCAGGUUUAUCGCCUAUUCAGGUUCCAUCCGCAGGGAGUCCGGCCGAGGUUUCCCAUACGGCCCCGAACGAUGUGAACAGGGUUCCCGAGAUACCUAACGGGUAUUCGGUACACCGUGCCACGUACCUACCGCAUCACAGCCCACCCCUACGGUCAGCACUGUCCACGGCCUCCAGUAGGCUACAAACACCAGAAACUACUUGCAACUCCUGGACAGAGAGCUAGGGUGAAUAAGAAGUCGAGCGGGGUCAUAUUUCAGGGCCCAAUGCAUGGUAGUAGCUGUAUCUUAAAUCACACAUACAGAUCUCAGUGCUUAAGGUCGGCUUCAAUGAAACAACCCACCAUGUACUCCUACAUGGCCUCUCAUCGAUACCUUUACCAAAUCGUGUUCACCACACCACUCUCGUUUCCGACAUAAUCAUUUCACUCUAGCCAUCACCCAGAUGAACCAGACCUGACACGACUCUAAGCAUAGCAGGCAUAGCAAGGUAGGAACAACACAUACAUAUGGCUCAAUCAACUCCUACACAUGCUAGUGGGUUUCAUCUAGUUACUGUGGCAAUGACAGGUCAUGCAGAGGAAAUGGGUUCAACUACCGUAGCACACAGCAGUUUGAAACGCGUUGUCUUAAUGCAGUAAAAGAGAGCAGGAGCGAGAACAUGGGAUUGUAUCGAUAUGAUCAAAUGGUUGGUUGCUUGCCUGAUGGUUCGAUGCACUGAUACGGUUCUUUGUUAGGGUAAUCACGGUACUCCUCGGAGGCAGAACCUGUCGCAAAGGACACAGAUACACAACCAUCACCAAACAAUGUGCAACAAUAUGAUGCAUGCAUGAAACAUGGCAAUAUGAGUGUGUUGGGCUAAUGCAACUAAAACCAGAAGGGUUUGAACAAAUUUGAAUCAAAGAUUCAAAUUUCAAACUCAAACAUGGCCUUUUAAAGUGCUUUUCCUUGUUCUGCUUAAAACAUCAAUUUAACUUGUUUGAUCAUGCAUGAAAAUAGUACAGAUGGAUAGAUUGGAUUUUUCUGAUCAUUUUUCAUAUAUAAUUUGUCCAAUUUGGAGUUACAGAAUAAAAGUUAUGAAUUUUUGAAGUUUAAAUAAUAUUCUGGAAUUUCCUGAUUAAAUUUAAAUCCAGAAAUAUAAUUAUUGCGCCAGCAUGACGUCAGCAUGACGUCAGUGGUCAACUGCGGCUGGCUGAGGUCAAACCUGACGUGUGGGGCCCACACGUCAGUGACAGGGGGGUUAAACAGGGUUAAUUUAAUCCUAAUUACUAAUUAGUGGCGCUGGGGCCCACUGUCAGUGUCAGGGGGGGUAGUUAGUUUAACUGAUUCGGUUAGUGCUAAUCCUAUUUAGCUACAGGGCUGGGCCCACCUGUCAGGGACAUAGGGGGGUUCCUGCCGUGGUCAAGGUGGGUCAAACCCACCGGCGACAUGACGCCGGCGAGGCCCGAGAAGGCGGCGCGAUGCGGGAUCGCGCUACAGGGCACGGGCGAGGCCGUGCUUGGGCUCGUUGGAGAGCCCUUGCUCCCGCGCGUCGAACGGUGGUGGUGGCCGUGCCUGGGGUGGUCUGUACCGUCGACGGCGAGCUCGUGAGCGGCGGCCAGAGUUCGGGUGCAGUCGGAAUCGGCGUUGCAGGGCGUUUGGGGAGGCGUUGGUGCGUGCUGCGUGCUCCUAGUGAGGUGUGGAGCACGAUGGUGUGCUCGGUUGGGCGCUACGGUGACCGUGGCCACGACGGCGACAUCGCCGGCGGCGUCGAGCUUCGGAGCUCAAGGGGGCGGCAGCUACAGAAGGCUAGGGACGACGGGGCAAGGGGGAAUCGAAUCAGUGGCUCACCGCGGAGCUGUAGGGAUGGUUAGCGGGCUCGGGGACGGCCGGAGUGCAGCGAAUCGACGGCGAUGAUCUCCGGUGGCCGAGGAGGGGAACAGCGACGUAGGCGGCGAUGCAGGGCUUCCGGAGACCCGUGGAGCGGUGGGGAGGAAGAGGGGGUCGAGGCGGAGCUUCUGGGCUAGUCGGGGGAGCGAGGGGUGGCCGGUGACGGCUACUAUGGCGAACGGCGGCGAUGGUGGUGUUCGGCCGUGAGAGAGAGAAAGGGAGCAGCAUGGGAGAGAGGGGGGAUAAGGCCAGGGGAUCGGGGCGGCACCGAGAAGAAGCGUCGCGGCGUCGCGCUGGCGGGGAGGCAGGCAGACGAGCUGGUGGCGUGGCGCUCCGGCCGUGCGCGCGCGCCGGCCACACGCCUGGCCGACUGGCGCCAGGAGGACGACGGCGGUGGUGGGCUGGGCUGGCUUGCUGGGCCGGCCACCUGGCUGGGCCGCACAGGGAGGAGCCCAGGUAAGCUCCUCCUGUCAUUUAUUUUUCUGUUUUCUAAUUUCUGACAUUUGUUUUGAUUUAAAUAAUAUAUUAAAUCAUUUAUUUAACUUAUGCCAAUUUUUGCAGGAGCUAGAUAUAUUAUUCUAGAGCUCCUUUAUAAUUGGCAUAAUAUUUGGACAUAUAUUAAUAUAUAUAAUUAAUAUAUUUCCAAUGCAAAUAUUUAUGCAUUAAUUCCAAAUGCCCAAAAUAAAUACCUAUGAGCUCUUAAAAAUAUUGGUUUGAUUUUUAUCUCUGUCCAAUAUUUUCAGAGAGCAACAUGAGCAUUUUCUUGGACCCUUUUGGAGAAAUUUUUAUUUGGGUCAUUUUCAAAAUGAUUCUGAGGGUUUCACAGAUCCCCAUUUCAAGUUUCUGAUGAAAGAGUAAACAUGAUGCAACACUCUAAUGCAUGACUAGCUAGGGUGUGACACGGUGACCCCCGUCCAACCGGGGGCGCCGGACAAUCUGUUGGAGGUGCUCGAAGGCGCCUCCAUCAACGAGGGACACCGCACUAUUAUGAGUGCGGUGGUCCAGAAGGUUCAGUCUGCCAAGAGUGUUGUCCCGAAGCGCCUUCCUCUCAUGAAGACGAGGAGGAAGAAGAAGAGACCUCUCCCCCUCCAGCGGGAGGAGAGAAGAAAAGGAAGGCCUCCCUCUCUGAGGAGGCCGGAGGGUCCAAGAAGGGGAAAACCCUUCCUCCGGGCUGCUCCACCGACGCCGCCGACGACGAAGAAGAGUGGCAGCCCAGGGCCAAGCCCCUGGCAAAAUCGUAAGUGUCCGGAUACCGGAGUAAUUCAUAGUAUUCGUUUUUUCACAGCUUUCCCUUAUGUCGAAUAUGUUUAUGCAGCCCACCCAAAGACCGGCUCGACACAUCGUCGAGCGGCUCACUGGACCCAUCGGAUGUGAACUCGCUUCCGACGGCUUCAUCCCCCCGCCCUAUGGACGACACCGAAGUGUUGUCCCAACAGGUUCCAAGCCGGGAGGAGGUGGUCCUGGAGGCGCCGCAAGGCGACCUCCCGGACUCCAGGAGUAAAGGGGAUGAAACCCCCCAGGGCUCCAAGUCCAGCCCAAGGCCGGACGCCGCUCCGGAACCCUCAAAGGUUCCAGAGUCCGGCGGGCGACCUCCUUCCAAGAGGAACAAGCCCACCGUGCCGGUGAUCCCCGUCCAACCGGGGGAGCCGGACAAUCUGUUGGAGGUGCUCGAAGGCGCCUCCAUCAACGAGGGACACCGCACUAUUAUGAGUGCGGUGGUCCAGAAGGUUCAGUCCGCCAAGAGUGUUGUCCCGAAGCGCCUUCCUCUCAUGAAGACGAGGAGGAAGAAGAAGAGACCUCUCCCCCUCCAGCGGGAGGAGAGAAGAAAAGGAAGGCCUCCCUCUCUGAGGAGGCCGGAGGGUCCAAGAAGGGGAAAACCCUUCCUCCGGGCUGCUCCACCGACACCGACAAUGACGAAGAAGAGUGGCAGCCCAGGGCCAAGCCCCUGGCGAAAUCGUAAGUGUCCGGAUACCGGAGUAAUUCAUAGUAUUCGUUUUUUUCACAGCUUUCCCUUAUGUCGAAUAUGUUUAUGCAGCCCACCCAAAGACCGGCUCGACACAUCGUCGAGUGGCUCACUGGACCCAACGGAUGUGAACUCGCUUCCGACGGCUUCAUCCCCCCGCCUUACAGACGACACCGAAGUGUUGUCCCAACAGGUUCCAAACCGGGAGGAGGUGGUCCUGGAGGCGCCACAAGGCGACCUCCCGGACUCCAGGAGUAAAGGGGAUGAAACCCCCCAGGGCUCCAAGUCCGGCCCAUCGCCGGACGCCGCUCCGGAACCCUCAAAGGUUCCAGAGUCCGGCGGGCGACCUCCUUCCAAGAGGAACAAGCCCACCGUGCCGGUGACCCCCGUCCAACCGGGGGCGCCGGACAAUCUGUUGGAGGUGCUCGAAGGCGCCUCCAUCGAUGAGGGACACCGCACUAUUAUGAGUGCGGUGGUCCAGAAGGUUCAGUCCGCCAAGAGCGGAUUGACUGAAGCUUGCACUAGCCUUUUAAUAGGCUUUGAGGUAAGUAAAGAAUGUUUAAAUAAUGUUACCGCAUAGACAGUAGCCCCUGAUGCUCUGUUGGGCGUUCGGGAAGAAAAGCCGAAUAUAGGAUCAAAGAAUUCGCAGGAGUCUAACAAAAGGAGUCAAUAUGCGUAUGCAGGCUUGUCUGCUAGCGUCCGCCGCACUGACUGCGGAAGUGGACGUGCUGAAGCAGAGCCUCGAGAAGUCCGAGCAAGAGCUCGGGCGUGCCAAGAAGCAACUCGAGGAGAAGGAAGGUAAGAAAUACCCUGUUUGAAUAUGUAUAUAAAAAGGCGCAAUUGCAAAAAAUGACAGGAUUGACAUGGCUAUUGUAGGGGCCACGUCUGAGGUGGCGACCCUUAAGCAAGCGCUGCUCGAGGCCAAGAAGAGUGCGGCCACGGAGCGCACCGAGCAGGAGAGGUAUGAGGCUGAGGUUGGCAAGGUGCGGCAAGAGCUCCAGGUUCUCAUGAAGAAACAUGAGAGUUUGGAGCUUGACUCGAAGAUGCGAGCGUCCGAGCUCGCGGCAGCUAUAGAAAAUGCCAAGUCUGCCAAGACCGAGUCCCAGAAGACCCGCCAAGAGUUGGAUGAGGUGAAGAAGAUAGCGGCGGGUAAGGAAUUUUUUAUGCAAAGUAAACAUAUAAACGUGAGUUACCUGAUACUUACCCGAAUACGGAGCUCUCCAGGGGCAUUUGCAGAUCUUCCCCGGAGUGUAUCCGAUGUCCCCGCAUUCUAUCGAGCCGAGGAGGGCAGCUCGACGGAGAAGGUGUUCUGGUCUCAGUAUGCUGAGGCCGGACACCCCGUGCCCCUGGGCGACCAGCUGAAGCAACUGGUCGAGCUCCACAAGGCGGCCGAACAGGCCAUGAAGGGCCUCCUAGUUUGGCUGUGGCCUGGAGAGGCCCUGCCUGGGAGCUAUUUCGGGCUGGUGCGGCGGCUGGUGGAGGCAUGUCCAAGGUUCGAGGUUAUCAAGCGCUCCGUCUGCAUCGAAGGUGCCCGUAGGGCCCUUGCCCGUGCUAAGGUGCACUGGGGCAAGCUAGAUGCUGAGAAGCUUGUGAAGGACGGGACACCGCCAGGGAAAGAGCAUCGUAAGCCCAAAAAUUACUAUAAGGAUGUUCUAAAGGGUGCCCGCCUUUUGGCGGAUGAAUGUACUAGAGAUGUAAUUUUUGAGUAAAACUCGCUCGUUUUUGUCCCGUGCGCUGGAAACUUGUUCAUAUGCGCUUAGCAAUGCUGUUUGGAUUUAAAAUAUUACCUUCUAUGCGGCUGUUUAUCAAUUCUGAGAGAUGGCGAGCCAUCGGCUUCUGCCCCCAUGCCGCUAGUGCUGGGGUGUUCGGGGAUAAACCUAAGCACUCUUUUUUCCAUGUUUGGGUCCUUCGAGGGAGGCGCUCAGCCCAGCGAACGAGGCAAACGGACUAUAACGCGUGAACACUCUCACUUAGCCAUAGAAUUCUAUAAUUUUAAAUUUCGGCGAAGCCCCUAGUAUUCGGAAGGCCGAUUUCGGGGCGCUAUCCAUUCCUUGGCCGGACAGAGCCGACUCCUCGCCCGAAGCGGCAUAAGUCUUUAGGGACUCAAAAAAACCUCUCGAACAGCGACCAGCUCUCGCUUCAUCAUGACAGUCAGUUUUAGCUUUCUCCAGUGAGGUGCUCAGCCCAGCUCAACUGGGGCACAAUCGCAGUGGUUCUCCUAGUGCUACCUUAGCCGAUAUAGCGGAACGUAAGGCACCAAAACAUAGAAGCUGGGCAAACCCAACUAUUGACCCAAAACAUGAUUCGGAGCCGAUGCAUAUAAUGCUAUAAGUUCGGGGUGCCGCACUUGUGAAAGUGUUCGGACUUCUCACACCAUAUUGAGGGGUACUGAAGCCCCUGGCGUAUUUUAGCCAUACCAGAUUGUACGGGUGCAACAUGUCGUUAAGGAACAAUUAUGUAUAAAAAGGUAAUGCAAAAAUAGACAAUAGCUAUGCGUUGUUUAUUAAAAAUAGCUGCGAUCAAAGCAGAACGAUACAAGUAAUGCAAGAAACGAAAAGUUGGCCUAUUGAACAUGUCUGCUCCAGGGGCAAGCUGCGGAAUAGUAUGCGAAACAGGUAUACUACUCGUGAUAGAGACCACCUGGGAUUUCCGUGAUGCGGCAUGGCUUGUCUCCUUCCCUGGUUCUUGCAUCAUUUGUGCGGCAAUUGAACUGUCGAACUGGCCUUCCGAAGAGUAGAGUCCUGGAAGUAAGAGAAAAGUAAAAAAAUCGGCAGCCCCUGGUGUGGUUUAAACCGUGUUUUGGGCGUGCCGUGAUGGUGCCCCUCCCCCUAUGCCCAUGGUAUUUCUAGAGCGUAGUUAUGUACGCGAAGUACUGGCAUCGCCUUUUUGCGAGGGUUGGGGUUGGGGCCGUAUUGCUACGCCUUCUCGAAACGUGCCAGGCGGUCUUGUUGUAGGUUACUCCGGGCGUGUUUGACGGUGUCCGGACGUUUAAUGGCCGGACUGGAGAACUGCCUGGAGAGGCUGCUUUGUACUUCCGCUGCAAGGGACGCCGUGUGCUCCUCCGUUCGGAGGGAGCGUUCGGUGUUUCCAUUAACCGUAAUUACUCCUCGAGGGCCUGGCAUCUUGAGCUUAAGGUAUGCGUAGUGCGGGACCACAUUGAACUUGGCGAAUGUGGUUCGCCCGAGCAGUGCAUGAUAACCACUGCGGAGCGGGACUAUGUCGAAGAUUAACUCCUCGCUUCGGAAAUUAUCCAGAGAUCCGAAGACCACUUCAAGUGUGACUGAGCCUGUGCAGUUGGCCUCUACACCUGGUAUUACGCCUUUAAAGGUCGUUUUGGUGGGCUUAAUCCUCGAGGGAUCUAUGCCCAUUUUCCGCACUGUAUCCUGGUAAAGCUGGUUCAGGCUACUGCCGCCGUCCAUAAGGACUCUAGUGAGAUGAAAUCCAUCAAUAAUUGGGUCGAGAACCAAUGCGGCGAAUCCGCCAUGACGGAUGCUAGUGGGAUGGUCUCUUUGAUCAAAGGUGAUCGGGCAGGAGGACCAUGGGUUGAACUUUGGGGCGACUGGCUCUACUGCGUAUAUGUCCCUUAACGCACGCUUCCGCUCCCUUUUGGGGACGUGGGUGGCGUAUAUCAUGUUCACCGUCCGCACUUGUGGGGGAAAACCCUUCUGUCCAUUGUUGUUCGGCGGCCGGGGCUCCUCGUCGUCAUCGCUAUGCAACCCCUUGUCUUCAUUAUCGGCGCUUAAUCUGCCUGUCUGCUUGAACACCCAACAGUCCAUGUUGGUGUGAUUGGCCGGCUUUUCGGGGGUGCCAUGUAUUUGGCACAAGCGGUCGAGUAUUCGGUCCAACCUGGACGGGCCCCUAGGAUUCCUUUUAAAUGAAUUUUUUCGCUGGCCGGAUUUAGAGCCUCUGAAUCCGGCAUUAACUGCCGUGUCCUUAGCAUUGUCGCUGUUGAUGCGGCGCUUCUGCUGGUUGCGACGCGACCUGCCACUAAUGUCCCUGGUGUCCGAACGACCAGGGUUCUUGGUCAUAUUGUUGCUACGAGCAAGCCAGCUGUCUUCUCCCGCGCAAAAGCGGGUCAUGAGUGCCGUGAGUGCUGCCAUAGAUUUCGGCUUUUCCUUUCCGAGGUGCCGGGCAAGCCACUCGUCCCGGAUAUUAUGUUUGAAGGCUGCUAGGGCCUCUACGUCCGGACAGUCGAUUAUUUGAUUUUUUUUCUUUGUUAGGAACCGUGUCCAGAAUUGCCUGGCCGAUUCGUCUGGCUGCUGAAUUACGUGGCUUAGGUCGUCAGCGUCUGGCGGUCGCACAUAAGUUCCCUGGAAAUUGUCGAGGAAUGCGGCUUCCAGGUCCUCCCAACAGCUGAUUGACCCUGUUGGCAGGUUGUUAAGCCACUGCCGGGCUGGUCCUUUAAGCUUGAGUGGGAGGUAUUUGAUGGCGUGGAAAUCAUCUCCGCGGCCAUGUGGAUAUGAAGGAGAUAAUCCUCGAUCCAUACCGCGGGAUCUGUUGAGCCAUCAUAUGAUUCGAUGUUUACGGGUUUGAAACCCUCGGGGAUUUGAUGAUCCAUUAUUUCGUCUGUGAAGCACAAUGGGUGUGCGGCGCCUCUGUACUGGGCUAUAUCAUGACGUAGCUCCAAUGAGCUUUGUCUACUGUGUUCGGCCCUGCCGAAUUUGUGACCGGCGUGAUGGUUACCGUCUCGAACCGUGGGGCGCCCACGCGAUCCGUAGAUCGAUCUUGUUUGCCUUGCCUUUUCCUCCAACAUAUUACGUAAGUCCGGCGCAUAUUCCCGUGCCUUGGUACGGGGUGCAGCUUGGGUGGAGGGCCAUGAGGCCUCUCUAUCGCGGCCAUGAGGUGGCUUGUCGGCCGUGUCGAGUGCUUCCUCCUCUAAUCGGGGUAGCACCCUGCACUUUGGGUAGCUCUUGGAGGGGCGUUCGAGUUUAUGCUCUUCGGCCGCAAGGACUUCAGUCCAUCUGUCGACUAGUAGAUCUUGAUCAGAUUUAAGCUGUUGCUGUUUUUUCUUGAGGCUUCUUGCCGUGGCCAUAAGCCUGUGUUGAAAACGCUUUUGUUCGACGGGAUCCUCUGGCACGACGAAUUCGUCGUCGUCGAGUCUUGCCUCGUCUUCGGAGGGAGGCAUAUAAUUAUCGUCCUCGACCUCUCUAUCAGUCGCUCUCUCAUGAGGGCUGGUUUCUCCAUCCUCCUGUACUAAAUCUUGCUCGGGGGGAUGUUCUUCGGCGCUUUCUGGGGUAUUAUUAUCUCCCGUGCUGGAAUCGCCGUUUUUGUGUUGGCGGGAUUUUGAGCGGCGCCUCUGACGCUGGCGCUUUUGCUGUUUCUUGGAGGGGUCAUCCUCCGCUGUUCCAUCGCCAUCUCCCUCUUUUGGGGUGUCCACCAUGUAUAUGCCAUAUGAUGAGGCGGCUUUCCAGGGCCUAGUAGGCGCUAGUUCUUCAUCAUCUCCUUCAUCGGCGUCCAUACCGUCGAUGUCUUCGGAGUCGAAGUCGAGCAUGUCAGUUAAAUCAUCGACAGUGGCUACCAAGUGGGUGGUGAGUGGGCUUUGAAUUUCUUCAUCGUCCGUACCCCAACCUUGCUGACCGUAGUCCGGCCAGGGCUCUCCUGAUAAAGAGAGAGACUUCAGUGACUUCAGGAUAUCGCCGAAAGGCGAGUGCUGAAAGACGUCUGCGGCCGUGAACUCCAUGAUCGGCGCCCAAUCGGAUUCGCUCGGCAGGGGCGCGGAGGGUUCGGAGUCCGGAGAAGAAUCCGGCUCCAUGGAGUCACGAGUCUUGCAGCGUACGGGGCUAGUGUUCGGGUCAACCGCCGUUGGGAUCGCAGCCCCCGAGGUGGCGUCCAACCGCCCAUCCUCGAUCGGCGCGGUCGACUCCGAACUAGGGGUCGAAGCUGAUGCGGGUGCGGCCUCCAGGGCACUGUUAGGCGGCAGAGCUAGAUCAUGCUCGUCGUGACAGUGCGGCGUGCUCGGCAGUGGUUCGAAUCCAUCGAAGAUCAAGUCCCCGCAGAUGUCGGCCGUGUAGUUUAAACUUCCGAAUCUGACCUGACGGCCAGGGGCGUAGCUUUCGAUCUGCUCUAGAUGGCCAAGCGAAUCGGCCCGCGGUGCGAAGCCGCCAAAGACGAAGAUCUGUCCGGGGAGGAAGGUCUCACCCUGGACUGCAUCACCAUUAAUGAUCGUAGGAGCCAUCGGGCCUGACGGCGACGGCACAGAGGAACUCUCAAUGAAAGCACCAAUGUUGGUGUCAAAACCGGCGGAUCUCGGGUAGGGGGUCCCGAACUGUGCGUCUAGGCCGGAUGGUAACAGGAGGCAGGGGACAUGAAGUUUUACCCAGGUUCGGGCCCUCUCGAUGGAGGUAAAACCCUACGUCCUGCUUGAUUAAUAUUGAUGAUAUGGGUAUUACAAGAGUUGAUCUACCACGAGAUCAGAGAGGCUAAACCCUAGAAGCUAGCCUAUGGUAUGAUUGUUGAUGUGUAUGUUGUCCUACGGACUAAAACCCUCCGGUUUAUAUAGACACCAAAGAGGGUUAGGGUUACAUAGAGUCGGUUACAAUGGUAGGAGAUCUGAACAUCCGUAUCGCCAAGCUUGCCUUCCACGCCAAGGAAAGUCCCUUCCGGACACGGGACGGAGUCUUCAAUCUUGUAUCUUCAUAGUCCAGGAGUCCGGCUUGAAGGUAUAGUUCGGCUAUCCGAAUACCCCCUAAUCCAGGACUCCCUCAAUCAGUGAUGGAUUAAUAAUAGCGGUCAUUAAUUGGAUAUGCCACACUAACCAUUAACUAGUAGUCCGGACAAUAUAACAGUUAAAAAAUAUUGAUAGUCAAAUAAUUUUCCUCUCAAAAUGGUACAUGACUCACAACAUGAAACCUGAGUUAGUGAGAAGCCUUGGCCAAAAACAUAAAGACCUAUAGAUCAUAUCGAUCCAAUAUAUCAUAGGUAUCAUAUUAUCAUGGAUAAUGAUGUCUUGCCAUUAACAUGAAGUUCUCGAAAUCAAAUGAUACAUUUGAACAAGCAACACAACAAUGGAGACUGAAGCAGACAUAGAUCGAAAAGUUAUACAUUAUUAUUUCCUCCACCACUUAAGCAAGAUGAAUUGCGCUAGGCCAUCUCAUUCUUCUUCUUGUUGAAGACCUCCUGAAUGAUAGGGCCAAGAGCCUCCAUCCUCAUUGGUUUGGGCACAAAUAAAUCAGCACCAGCACUCAUGAACGGCUCCAUGGCAUGGUUAUCGGCAGAAACCCCAACCAUCUUCACAUCAGUUUCCCCCAUAGCACGAAUCUUCACAAUUGCCUGUCGAGCAAUAUAAAUAUUAUAUUGUCUUUUCUUGUAAAUAAGAGGAUUAUAUGUAGUAUAUAAGAUUGUUUAGGUAGUAUAUAUACUAUUUUUUGGUAGUAUAUAUCAUAUUUUGUGCAUACUUCAUUUCGCGUACAAAUAUGUGCGUAUUUCACAAAUACAAUGAAACUAUGAGCUCACUUGCAAUUUUUUCAUAUAACUCACUUUGGAGUAUCUUAAAUAUAGUACAUGAACAUAAUAAAAAUAAUAAAGUUGAGUAUAUACUACCACAUGGUAGUAUAUAUAUGCCAAAUACUUGCAUAUACAAUGAUAUAGAAUUAAGUACCUCUGGACAAGUCAUGAUGGGCAUAUUCUUAUCGAACAAAACAAUGUCAAACUUUUUCCCCGCAAGGAACAAAUCAACAGCUUCCUUCCCAUUCAUGGCUAGAGUAACCUCACAGUGAAGUCUGAGCAGAAUUGUUGAGAGGACCAACCUAGAAACUCCAAUGUCCUCUAGAAGUAGUGCCUUGAUAGAGGUGGAUCCUUUGGCCUUGAGCUCCAUGAUCACCUAAAUGAAUUGCAAACACAUGAAUAUAUUUUAUUCUUGAUCCAUGCAUGCCAUAUUAGUACUUGCAAGCACAUUGUUAUUCUUGAAAAGAAUCAACUAGCAAAAUCUUAAUAUAUUACUAAACUCAUAGUUUAAACAUCGCAUAACACAAUGAAACAAAAUUGUCUAUUUCAAACGAAACAAUGACAGAGCUGAAAAAACCGAUGCUCCAGGAUAACAUGCCAGCAAUAAUAUAUAAAUGCAUAUAGAUGGGUGCUAAGAACAACAACCAUGAAGAUAUUGAUUAAUAGAUCAAAUUAAAAUGAAUACUUCCACCCUAUACUGGUAUAGAUCCACCUCUAACAUUCUCAUGGAUGUAAAGCAUGGACACUAUAAAAGCACCAGAAGCCUCACGAUGAAACUAAAAGCACCAGAAGCCUGAUGAUAAAACAAGGCAGGAAAACAAAUAAUGUAACAUGUAGCUGAAGCUUAGAGCCAGAUGGUGCUUGAGGAGAUUGGGGAUCUUCCUACUCUUCCCACUAGAUAGUCUGGUGGUUGGGUGCUGGUAUGCCUCGUAUGACAAGGUAUUUAUAGAUGGGAAAAGGUAAGUGUGGCCAAUGGACAACCUAUCUCCACUGCCUUCACACGCGUAGAAAAUCCGCACCGAUCUUCGCCCAAGUAUAAAUGGAGAAAUCAAUAUUGGUCGUGAAUAUUUUCUUAUUAAUGACUCAUGUCCCCACAUAAAUAUUCUCGAUUGAUGUUUAUAUGCAACUUAAUGUUUCAUAUCUAAGGUCAUGUAUUAAACUAUAUGUCAUCAAGUUACUAGAAGUUGUAUGAGUUAUACUUCCAAAUUUUGAAUGUUGGCCAAUAUACUAUAGUUAAUAUUUUAUUUUGAGAGACAUGUUACAACGCAUAAACUCACAACACACACACACACACACACACACCUAUGAAGGCGAACACAUAUACCUACCACUGGGAGCAGCAAUGUGAUGUUGAGUCAAUAGAUAUUGACAUUGACAAUGCCACCAUAGGCACUUCAUUGUAAAAGUCCAAGUCAUUGCAUUGAAAUAAUAAUGUAAGAAAUACUGAACUAAAUAUAGAAAAUAUUUGAGCACCCAUGCGAUGUGUAGAACUUGAACCUCGGGUAGGCUUGUUGCCGUAGAAAGUACCUGGCCAUAUAAGGCCAACUCCAACGCAUGACUCCAACUGGUCCGUCCCCAUCUGUUUAGGGCUAAACAGACACAAAACGCGACCCAACGCGCGGGAGCAAAUGAACAAAUGUCCUUUUUCUGUCUGCUUUUGAACCAUUUCCGGUCCAAAUUUGGGCCGCGUUUGCAUCGAAAAGGACACGGGCGGACGAGUGCGACGCGUGCCCUUGUCCUCCCCUGGCCUGCCCGUCGGGGACAUGGUCGUCCUUUUUUCUUCUCCUCCUCCCCUCCCCCUCGCCCCCAUCCCCGCUAUAGUCGCCGCCGGCAUUUUCUCGUCCACCUCGCUGACUCACUGUCUCGUAGUCUACCCCAACCGACCACAAAACGACGGUCGGAUAUGUGCCUCUCUCGCCCCUGCACUGGUGGUCAACUGCUAUACCUGCGGCCGCGGGAUUUGGCGCAUGCGGCUACCGGAUUUGGCGAAUCCGGCCGCAUGUUACUGCGCCUUGCCAUGGAUUGGCAGGGUACUGGUUCGCACAACCAUGGCCACGCCUCCGCGUCGCAUGCAGGUACCGAAUCUACCUCUUGUCGCUCGGAUCUAUACCCCGGCGAUGGUUUGCCAUCAAAGACAUGGCCGGCCUCUGUCUAGGCUGGGCCCUGGCCCAACGGCUAGACGGUAUUAAUUUAGAUGAUGUUCUUGAUGGUCAUUAUGUGAUUUUAUGCAUCUCUAAUCAAAAUGGAACCAAUAAGAAGUUUUGAUUAUAGAUUUAAUGAGCAAAUGUGAAAGUGCAAUCAUGCUCUUAAUCAAAUUUUGAUGUUGAUGACAAAAUACAUACAUGAGACUAAUUAUAUUUGCUAAGUGAAUACACAUGAUAUUUGUCUUCUUGGCAUCAUUAUGUAGGGAUCAUGGACACAUCAAACGAGAUAUGACUCAAGAAGAUGACAACAGAGAAGAAGUGUAGACUCCUUUAUAUAAAUUUUGAGUUACAAGGAUCCCGCACUAUUAAGAGGGGAUCCAACGAAAGUGCUAUUGUGAGCUCGAGCUCACAGGCACCCUUUGCUACAGUACAAACAAAAAAUAUUUAAAAAGUUCAAAAAAAUCUGAAUUUUUUUGGCAUCAAACAUUGAUAUAUUUUUCACAUGCGUACAAAUUUUCAUGACAAAAUGACAUUCAUGCAGGUCUCAGCAAAAAAAACAAAAUCGAUGCUCCAAAAAGCUUCCAAAAACAGCUUUUUUGGAGCAUGAUUUUGUUUUUUUUGCUGACACCUCCACCAAUGUCAUUUCAUCACGAAAAUUGGCACGCAUGUAGAAAAAACAUCAAAGUUUCUUGACAAAAAAGUUCAGAUUUUUUUGAAUUUUUUUACUAUUUUUUUGGAUUUUACUGUUCAUCCGGGAUCACUGGUGCCCGGGAUCAAUUCCUCCGCGUCCGGGAUCCAAGUGGUAUUUUCAAGAUUUGUUCAAGUGUCAACAUAAUGUCACUAUCAUACUACAGGUAUUGUAACACCCCUGUAAUUAAGCUAUAAUGAAUUCACCCUAAUGAUGCCCCUUCGCGUGGCCACCGAGCUCCUCCUCAUCUGAGUUCAUGUCUAGGAUCUUCAUCGUCGUCGCCCACGUCGCCUGCGGCCACGAGCUCAAGUCAGGAGCCCCUACAUCGCCGGAAUCGAUGUCCUCGUCAAGCUCUGUCGUGCCACUCGCUGCUCACCGACCUGAGCCUCGCCAACCCGCUUUGCACCUCUAUAGUCUCACUAUGAGCCCCGUCGUCUUUCCUCUCUAUCUUUCUGCUUGUGUGCGCCCCCUAGCUAGCUCCGUGGCCAUUGACGGUGCUCGUUGCCACCAUUCGCAUCACCGCCGCGGCCACUACUUUCCAAGCUUGCAUUCGAGCACCACAUUGAGCUCCUGGAGCUCCUAGGAACCCAAUGCCGCCGUUCGUUCGCCUUGUCGUCCUCCGCAGCCUCGCCAGCGUCCACCCCAAACUCCAACCGACGCCUCGCCUUAACGCCAAUGCCAACUCCGGCCAUCUCCAGUUGAACCGAUGCCACCGUUGCAUGCUCACCGCUUCUCUGAUUCAAAUGCGUCCUCCGUGCGCAAAAUGGCCGCUAAAGACGCAAUCCCGAACCCCACCACCGUUCUUCUGGUCGCCGAAGCUCUACCGCCGGCGAGCCACCGCGUUUGGACUGUCGUGAGUCACUGACACAUGGGCCCGGCCUACCAGGAACGUCUUUUAGCACUAACAAAAAGUGUAAUAUGUCACUCACACACGGCCCCCAAAUUAGCAUUUACUUAAUUGAAAUAAUAUCCUAUUAAUUAACCCUUGUCACUGACCACUAGGCCCCACCUCCUAAUUAUAGUUAAUUAAACUAAUUAAAAUGCUGACAAAACCCCGCUAACCAGUGAGUCCCAUUGGUCAGGUUUGACUAGUCAACCUAACUGUUGACUGCUGACUCAACAGUCAAUAGGCCCCACCUGUCAGUAACAAUCCGUAGUUUACCGAUUUAUGCACGUACUUCCGCUGGUUAUCAUUUCUAUGUAAGCUUUGUGUUCUCCUUUGUAAUAUUCAAUUAUGCCAUGCAAAGGAAAAUCAAGGAUUACUAUUCUUUGUACAUAUGUAGUGUAUUUUUCAUUCCAGUAGUAAUAGUUAAAGUAGAGGACAGAUGUAGUGACAUAGAUGGUCGAAGGCUAUUUGGGGCAGCCCCAAGCCCUACAUCGCUCGUGGUGCUCCUUGGUUGUUCAAGAAGGACCUCCUCAACGAGAUAACAGAUCCCUAAGCUAAGUUUACUUCUCCAUUUCCGUAGCAAUCUUCGCUCCUUUUUUGAUCAAUUCGUUUGUUGGCGCCAUGGGCUGCAGCACACGAUGGCGAUCACAGAAGAUACGCUAGAAGAGGAGGAAGAAGAACACGGAGAAUUUUUCCUGCGCCCGAACGCCGGCCGCAUAUACGGCUUUUCUGUAUUUCACCUCUAGCUCGAACUUGAUUUCCUCAGCGAUUACACAGGAGUGGAGAGGGUUUAAUACCCGCGAGCUUCGACACGCCGGGCCGCGCUCGAUUGCACCCACCUAUCACUCGCCACGCCCUGCUCGCUCCGGCUCGCGCACUCCGAUCGUGCACGCACACGAUCGCCGCGGGCAUGCUGCGCACGCGACGCGGUCCUCUCCUCCUAAUCCCUCGUUAGCUAACCCACGCAGCCACGCGCACACACGCGCUGACUCGCACACACACGCACACCUACACUCAGGCACACACGCACACACCCGAGCCCGCCAUAGGCCGGACCUGACGCGACCAGGACAUGCACACACACGCGCACGUUCUCAGCCCCGCCGUGGCUUAUUUCCUACAUUUCACCCCCUAAGCCACGACCUAGAGGAGGCCGGCGUCCUCGAUUCCGACGUCCGCCAGCAACGCGUGCUCCGUUGCUGGCUCCCACCGCAGCUGGGGCAGUCCCGCUUGAAAUGGCUACGCUCGCUGCACUUGUAGUAGUGCCCGUGUCUGUUGCCGCCGUUGCCCGAUGCCAUGCUUCGCCCGUCGUCGUCGUCGUCCCGAGCGCCGCUCCCGCGCGCGCCACUACGCCAUGGUUAGGAGGAGUUGAUCAGCCCCGCGCUCGCCGCCGUAUUGUCCAUGGCGCCGCGUCCGCUCAUCAAACGCACGCAGCCACCCGAGCACCUCGUCGAACGCCAUCUCGUCGACAUUGCAGAACUGCUCAAUGCCGGCGACGACCGGGAACAAGCGUUCGGGGACGGUGUCCGGGAGCUUCUUCACGUGCGCCGCAUCGCGCAGCGUCUCCCCGAGGUUCGCAUACCGCGCCGUCAUCGCAGCCAACCUCCAUGCGUACGCGUCCAGCCCCUUGCCGUCCACCAUCUUCAAGCGAUCGAACUCGCCGCGGAGCGUCGCCGGCCGGGCCGCCCGCACCCGAUCGGCACCGACGAACCUCACCUUCAGAGAGUCUCAUACCUCUGUGGCGGUGAGCUUCGUCACCACCGACAGCAGCACAUCCUGCGGCAGCCCACUGAGGAUCAUCGCGCUUCCCGUCUUGCACUUUUUUGCGUUCACCGUCGCGUCGCCCGCCGGCGCCACCGCUUCCCACAAAGUGUGGGCAUCGAGGAUUGUGUGCGCCUUGAUCGCCCACACCAUGUAGUUGUCCGGCGUGAGCAUCGGCACGGCAUCGACACCGAGCCCGCGCCUCCGCCGUGCCCCACAAUUGGCAUCGCCAUCGACGAGCUCCCUCACCUUGCUCUGAUACCAAAUGUUGGCGCCACGGGCUACGACACUCGACGGUGAUCACCGGAGACACGCUCGGAGAGGAGGAAGAAGAACACAGAGAAAUUUUCCGGCGCACGAACACCCGUCGCAUGUACGGCUUUGCUGUAUUUCACCUCAAGCUCGAACUCGAUCUCCUCAGCGGUUACACAGGGGUGGAGAGGGUUUUAUACCCGCAAGCUCCGACACACCGCGCCGCGCUCGAACGCGCCCACCUCCACUCGCCACAUCCUACGCUCUCCGGCUUGCGCGCUCCGAUCGCGCACGCACACGAUCGCCGCCGCCAUGCUGCGCGCCCGACGCGGUCCUCUCCCCCUGACCCCUCGCUGGCUAACCCACGCUGGCACGCGCACACACACGCUGACUCGCACACACAUGCACACCUACACUCGGGCACGCACACGCACACCCAAGCCCGCCACGGGCCGGACCUGACGCGACCAGCGCAUGCACACACACGCGCACGCUCUCAGCCCCGCCAUGGCUUAUUUCCUACAUCGUAUAUGCAGCUCGCAUGUGCCCUCUCUCUUCUGCUUGAACCCGAUUGGAUGUAUGGCGUGUUAAUCUCAAUCAUUGGAAGUAGGAGAUGACACAACACUCCUCAGUACUUCCUUCGAAAACCUCAUAGUAGAUUGUAAUAUUUUAAAUGUAUAACUCGUCAACACCAGGGAGGCUAGAGCCAAAUGUCAGGUUUCUGCUUGGUGCUUGCUGAUGUUGCAAGAGGAGAAAGGUCGGGAAAUAAAUGAGGUAAUACCAUAAAUGCUACCAGGCAGCAAGCCUGGUAAGCUAUCUCAAAAAACAACAGCCAGCAGAAUACCAUAAAUGCUAGGAUUUCGAAUAAGGGGUCUAUGAACCUUGCUGCAAUCCGUAGACGCACUAGUAGUGAAACCUUUCUCAAGCAGAUGGAUGGGUGCAUGGCAAGUUAAUUUUACUUAUAUGGACAUGGCAGAGAUAUGGGGAUGUUUGCCAAUAGUUUUAUAUAAAGGAUCACUGACGGAUUAAUAAUAGCGGUCAUUAAUUGGAUACGCCACACUGACCAUUAACUAGUAAUCCGGACCAUAUAACAGUUAAAAAAUAUUGAUAGUCGAAUAAUUUUCCUCUCAAAAGGGUACAUGACUCACAACAUGAAACCUGAGUUGGUGAGAAGCCUUGGCCAAAAACAGAAAGACCUAUAGCUCAUAUCGAUCCAAUAUAUCAUAGGCACCUUAUUAUUAUGGAUAAUGAUGUCUUGCCAUUAACACGAAGUUCUCGAAAUCAAAUGAUACAUUUGAACAAGCAACACAACAACGGAGACUGAAGCAAACAUAGAUCGAAAAGUUAUACAUUAUUAUUUCCUCCACCACUUAAGCAAGAUGAAUUGCGCUAGACCAUGUCAUUCUUCUUCUUCUUGAUGACCUUCUGAAUGAUAGGGCCAAGAGCCUCCAUCCUCAUUGGUUUGGGCACAAAU